rnacentral:lncRNA from 1 species
GCAAUUUCUUGUUUGCCUAGGUCGGGAUAAUGAUGUGUCUUUGGAUCUGGGGAGUGCGCAUCGUAUGUGAGUCCCGACUAAUUCUUAUACGGUUAUACCUGGAAAAACAAGUGGUAAAAAUUACCCACGAUUUUUUUUAAAAAAAAUACCAGGCAUCUGGUGAGGACAUCAGCAUUCUUCCUUCGAAGUGAGCCCUCUCGACCUGGCGAGCAGCGACCUGGGCAGCAGUAGCGGAGCAUCCGUGCCGGAGUGCCGGUUCUGGCGAGUGGCGAGCCAAGCCGUUGCCCCGCCUAAGAAAAUAUAUCAGAAGACCUUAGCCAACAUGGUUAAAAAUAAUAUUAGAAGACGCUUUGAAAAAAUUAGUAACGGUUAUUUUCGUUAGUUAUUUUCCAAACAUAGUUAAAAAUAUCAAAAUUAAAAAAAAUAAGAGAUAUGAGAGCAUCAUUUGGGUCCUUCCUCUAGUCUUAGCCAGCAAUCCUGGUGUUACGUCAACAAAACCAGUCCGCCAAACACCAUUUUCGGGAUUAAGGGGUUUAAUUGACCUAGAUCAGUAAGGUCGAGGUCUGAAAUUCAGGGAUUCAAAGUUAAGGUCUGAUUCAGACUUUGUCUACAAGUUAAGGGUUGAAAAUAGACUUUUCUUUUUUUUCUUUUUAUAAAGCACCGAUCACAUGUUCACACAUUGUGCCCGUGUGCCGCAUGAGCACACCUUUGAGGCCUCUCUCAAAUGCACGGUUUUAAGCGUUCUCUGGGAUAUUGUCUAAUAGGUGUUUAUAAAAUUAAACUGUUCUCAAACACUGAUAUGGCUGCGGGGUGGCCCGAUCUUUUGAUGAGAUUGAUAACUCUCGAUUUGAGUAGGAUCGGACGUUGACGAUCUGACUACGGCCUAGAAGGCGGCGCCUUAGCAAUCGAUACACCGACUCCAGAGGGUUAUUGAUCACGCGGGGGCACGAUCAACCUGACCACGAAGGUCUUUGUUCCUGCAAGCAAUCGAAGAACAAGCAAGAAUAAGAUAAAUAACGGAUGCAAUCUGAAAUUGCGAAUAUACUAUACCAAACCAAUGUCUCAACGAGACGAUAAGUUGCGGUUCCGAAAGCGGUAAAACAGGUGGUCUAACCGAGACACGCGAUUACACGAAGUAGUAGCGAUGGCUAACUUUUAACUAAACAAAAUCCAAGGCUCCUUAGGGGAACACAUGGAGUAUAUAAAGGAGUAGGGAGAGCUAUUUUCGUCCACCUUGAGGAGGAGGCCGAAAUCAAGUAUAUCUCUAACUUUCCUAACAAACUACAACUCAUUUGGAAACGUAAAAACAUAUCCGUCAGCUUGUUUUGUCCUCCACGGUCAGCACGAGUCAAAUAUCUUGAUGGGACCAGAUCUGUUGGAAAGGUCUUGUAAUUAACUUUCCAACAAGUACUUGUUUGCUUGAUUUGGACUCCGGAUGUGGCCUGGGUGAUUAAAACAAAUUCGGGUCUCCUGACAGUUCGGACCCGAAUCGGAUUCAACUUUAAUUCGUGAUAUCUUUCUCUAUCAAGCUCCGAAUCAUGUGCCGUUUGAUUUGUUGGAAAGUAGACUUGAUAGGCUUCACUUUGAAUCUCCAUUUGCAGGCUAUCACACUUCAUCUUCACUUUGAACUUGUAAAGUUCAAUAAGAUGCCUACAUAAUAAGAUUACACAAGAUAGUAGCUCCGUCUCUUUGAAAGUAACAUAUUGAAAAUAUUUAAUAAUUGAAUUCACCUGAUUAUAAUUGUCAUUAGAUACACCAACAAUUAGGGUUCUAAUGAUCGUAUCCAUGGUGAUCAUGUCCAUAUCAAACACCAAUGAUUAUUUCUAGAUGCCUAAUUAAACAUCCGUCGUCUAUAGAAACGGGCAUCAAUGUUUAUACAAUAAACACCUCACUAAAGAUCGUGUAUUGUACAUGUCUUAGUGCACAUCAAAUACUAAGAGACAAUCUUCUAAUUCGUGGUCUAUACGAAAGAUUCGAAUCAUGGACUAUGUAGAUUGACAAAGUUUAACCAGUGUCAUUGAUGAUGAUGGUUGACACUGAAUGCCUAAAGGCAGGCCGAGGUCCAAGACAACGGUUAUAUCUUUUUGUCGAAUCUCAGAAUCACUGAGAAAUCUCGAAGCCCUUGUUAGUGGCAACUUUUAACUAUGUGAGAAACCUCGAAGUGAAUGGCGUCAUCAUGGGUGGCACUAGCUUUACCAUUGUGAGAAACAAAUAAAUGUGUGCUCGCGUGGCGUGACCCAAUCCUAGUGAGAAGAGAUGUGUAUCAUCAAAAUCUAUUACAAUAUAUUAAAUUGGAAUCGGUGGUGAUGGGUGGGCGCCGUUGGUCGGAGUUGGUCGGUCAACUUCGUUAAAAUUACAAUCAAUAUGCCAUUGCCCCUUAUUUUCUUUCCCUCCCGUCUUAUUCACGAUUUCAGUAACAGAAAUUCUACGGUUUAGAUUUACCAAAAGUUAUCGUACGGUCCAAAUUUGUCACAACAUAAUACGAACAGUCCUAAAAUAAAUCAAUCUUCUUAGCAUGAAAUCCAAAAUUCUUUGUAUCCAUCUCAGUAUGGAAAUCAAUCCGAACCCAAACAAAAAAUCUCGGUAUCAAUCUCGAAAAAUCAAUGUCCAGACUUCGCCUCCACCGGCUCGUGCUUGAUACACUUUCCGUUGUUCCGUAGCAUCGCACGGGUUCUUUUGCUAAAUUUACAAUAUUUGGUAGUUUGAUUGCAAGCCCUUAAAAUAUAAUCAAGCAAACUAAACAAGCACAAAUUAUUUAUGCCAAAAAAUCUCCAAUCAUUAUCAAUAGAGUGAAGUUAUUGAGCAGCCAUAGAACUCUCAAGUGAUUGCCUCAUGUAUCAACUCCGUUGCAUAAGAGAAGGGCCAUGCCUUGAUGGGAUAUCAAAUUGCGACCUAGAUUAAAUUGUACUCAUGUAGAUGAAAGAUCAACGCCGGAAUGGAUGCACCAUGACUAACCAUCUUCCAGUGACAGUUCCAAGUGAUGCGAGAUGGGACCCAUGGUCGUCUUGCCACAAAUAGUGGUUGAGCACCCACGAUGACACCCAUUGGCCACUACGGCCCACGCGCGGCUACAUUACCACGGCUUUCGAGCAACCUUGCAUGAAGAGUAAGGGCAUGCCACAGAGGGGCAGGGGAUUGUUGCUGCCAAUUGCAAAGGCAGCCACUAGUUGUCAUGCCUCAAAAUAUAUGUUUGCAUCAUAGCAAGAAAGUCCCAAAUCAUCAUCCUAAAAAUAAGCAGAAGACUCCUCGACGGCAAAAUUCAAAAAAUAAUCAAGCAAUACCAUAUUUGCCAAAUUAGUAGAACUUGAUGUUAACAUUAUAUUAGAACCACCUCCUAAAUCGCACAGACAACAAUAUCGUUGGAAACAUCAACUAUCUAUUUUAUUUUAGAAACAGGUACUCUCACAAACACAUUUGACGGUUCUGUGUCUCAUAGCAUGCCCAACAGAUUUGGUGAGAGAGAAGAUUUCUAGGAAGAAACAACUGUGCUUCUCGAUCGAUCAAGAGCAGCAGAUUACCUCAAAACCAUUAUGCUUCUAUUUCUCAUGUGAUUGUGCAUAUAAACUCCAAUUUAAUUGUAACUUCAUGAUAUAACUAAUUAAAUCAUGUGCCAUCAUCAGUCCCCUGGCCAUCAUAGCCGAAUCCUCAAGUUAUACACUUAUACUCAAAGGUAAGGUAAGUAAUCAAGUAACAAUAGGAUUCGAUCUGGUGUUCUACUGCCGAAUAACUGAAUUCUGUAUUUGUUCGUCAGUUCAUAUAUGUAGACCUCACACUCACACUAUGUGCGUACUAGUAUAACGCGUCCAUAUGUUUGCUACUUGUAAAUUUACGGAAAAUUUGUUACGGAGAAGAAGCACAGUUUUUUUCCUACAAAUCUUCUAUUUUCCGCGGAGUACUACUACAUUUCUACUACUCGUACUUAGUUAUCUCAAAGAUGAUUUGUAUGAGCAUUUGCCACGCAUUACACCAGGUUCUGCAGCGCCCGUGGCAUCGGCGGCAUGUGGACGGGGAUGACGCCCUCCAGCGCCUGCACGACCUGCGCCAUGGUAGGCCGGUGCUCCUCCUGGUCCUGGAUGCACCAGCACGCCGUCCUGCACGCCCGCUCCAGCUGCUCCUCGCUCACGUCGCCGCGAAGCCGCGGGUCCGCCACGGCGCCCACUUCCCCCUCGGCCACCUUCCCCGCCGCCCACACCGGGAAGAACAUCAGCACGCGCCGCCCUGCGUCAGCGUCGCUGCCCCCAUUGCUGUCCUCCUCCUCCUCGCCGCCAGCGGCGCCGGAUGAACUGCUUUGCCCGGCGCCCUCACCCUGGAGGUCGGCGUUGCGCCGGCCCGAGAUGAGCUCGAAGAGCACCAUCCCGAAGCUGUACACGUCCGCCUUGGCGCUGAUGGGCAGCCCGGAGAUCCACUCCGGCGCCAGGUACCCGACGGUGCCCCGCAUCGUGGUCAGCGCCCGGCUGAAGUCCCUCCCCACCAGCUUCGCCAUCCCGAAGUCGGCGAUCUUGGCGCACAGGUCCUUGUCCAGCAGUAUGUUCUCCGGCUUCACGUCGCAGUGUAUGAUGCGCUCCCGGCAGCCGUCGUGCAGGUACGCCAGCCCUCUGGCCACGCCCAGCAUGAUGCCGUAGCGGUCGCGCCAGCUCGGGCAUGAGCUGCCUGCCUUGAAGAGGUAGCCUUCCAGGGAGCCGUUGGGCAUGUACUCGUAGACCAGCAGAAGCUUGUCGUCGCCCGACGAGCAGAAUCCGAGGAGCCGGACGAGGUUGACAUGCUGGAUGCGCCCAAGCGUGUUCACCUCCGCCCGGAACUGCUUGUCUCCCUGCCGGAGACCUUCCAGCUUCUUCACCGCCACCUCGGUGCUGUUUCCCUCUCCGUCCUUGAGGACGCCGCGGUACACGGAGCCGAAGCCUCCCCCGCCCAGCCGCUCCGAGAAGUUUUUGGUGGCGGCGCGGAGGUCGCCGUAGCUGUACACGGCCAAGGAGGAGCCCUUCUCGUUGGCCAUGUUGCGCAGUCUUCGUCUCCUCCUGGAAAGAAGAACCCAGGCUAGCAGCGCCGAUGCGACCAAUGCUGCCACACAGGCCAACACGAUGCCAAGAACAACAGGCCAUUCUACUCCCCCUUUCUUCUUGCUUCCUCUGCUCAAAUCUCGCAGUCCUGAUUCUGAAAGCCGGAGAUGCAGCUCUGAACCCGAGGCCGUGGAGUCCGCGUACAGCUGCUGGAGGUUGCGGAACUCGCCGUGCCAGACGGCGCACCCGCCGCCGUCGGAGAAGGUGUAAGCUUGGCAAGAGCAGUUGUUUAGACAAGCCGACUCGCACUCUGCUUUGCUCUUGGCGUGGUCCAGGGCGAGCGGGUCGUCGGGAAGCUUAACAUUCGUCAGCGCCUGGAACCCGUCCGUGGUCGACCCGUUGCGCGCGCACACGAGCGGCGAGCUCCGGCGGCACCCGCCGGUCCAGUCGCUGAGCCUCCAGUCAUUCUCCGACGCCGGCUCGAGCCCGGGCGGGCAGCGGCAGGACGGCUGGCUCCUCUGGUCGCAGACGCCCAGGGCGCCGCAGACGGCGUACACGUCGCACUGCACGGUGGGCGCGGCCCAGAAGAACUGCCAGCUCUGGCUGGCGGGCACCCAGAUGUACUGCUUGGCCUGGCCCGUGUUGUCCAUGACCUGGCGCGUGAUGGUGGCGUUGUCGUAGAGCGCCCAGCUGAGCCGCCGGUGCGCCGGCGUCUCCACGUAGGUCUGGUUGAAGAGCACGUUGUUCACCGCCUCCGGCAGCAGAGCGAACACGCGGCCCGUCCAGACGCCGCUCCGCCAGUACAUGCGGGACCCGUUCCAGAAGUAGAAGAACUCGCUGGUGCCGUUGGUGUCAAUCGUGUUGCUGAACAGUCCCGGCGCCGGGUCCUCGGCGUUCCGCCACGACGUCAUCCUCUGGUACACGCCGGUGAGCUUGUCCUCCCCAAGCCACGCUUCCGGCACCAGCGUGUCCGUCGGGUGGUCGAAGCUCUGCCAGAGCACGUUGGAGGAGUUGCCGCCGUCGAGGAGAACCAGGUUGCCGUUGUCGCGGAUCUCCGCGGUGUUGUUGCUGGACCCCGGAGACGACAGAGACAGAUUUGACGACCACACGACGCCCGGCGCGGCCGAGCCGUCUGCAGUGAAGCCGACGAGCUCGAGGUUGCCGUCGUCAGGGGAUACCCGGAGCUCGGCGGAUGUGGCGUUGGACAGUGGGCUCGCGCGGUUGCCGACCCAGAUGACUGUGUGGACGGGGAUGUUCUUGUACCAGAUACCAAGGUAGAACCGGCCGGAGCUGCCAGGACUGAAGAGGCCGGCCUCGAACUUGCCCUGCGCCGAGACCACCGUGUCGUUGCCCCGCAGCGGCCGCCGCGCCGACACGGUGUCCGCCGCUGCCACGAGACAUGGAGCCAAGCAAAACGCGACGGCUGCGACGACGAUCAGUGACAUGUUAAUUUGCAGGUGGAUCGGAUAUGCUCCGGGAGGAGAGAUGGCGAGGCACGCAGUUCCUAUCGCGUUUGUACGCAGGCAGCUAUAUGUACGACGAUCUCGCGUGCGAACACAAGGUCUGACAUAUGGAUGACUCAUGUACAUUCAGUAGCUGGUUAUAUUUUGAUUUGUUCGACAACUGGAUUUUGUGAAUCCUUUAGUGGAACAAAAGUAGAAACAUUUCGUGGCUGGCAUUUAGCGUAGAGUAAAAUACACAUCCAGUUCAUGAACUCGACAAAAAUGAAUACUUUAGUCCACAAAAUCAAAAAACGCACACUUAAACCCCUAAACUGGGACAACCGUGUCACUUUAGUCCAAAAACGAUUGGACGAGGCUUAAACACGCCACGUGGGCGCCAUGUCGGCUUCGGCGACCCCUUCACCGGCGUCCUCUCGUCAAAAUUGAGCAUUGUGGGCUUGAUAGCGACCUUAGGCGAGGCAGCGGCAUAAACGGCGUGGUUCUCACGGCCCCAGAAUCUCCGUCUGGGCGCGGCUGCCUUGCCCCUCAUGGGCGCUCGGACAUGGUGAUUUUGCAAAAAAACAAAUCCUGAGAAAAUCGAGUAGCAGCCCGCGGUCCUGGCCGCCGACGUGGCGGUCAUGUGGCAUGUUUAAGCCUCGUGGAAUCGUUUUUGGACUAAAGUGACACGGUAAUCCCAGUUUACGGGUUUAAGUGUGCAUUUUCCAAGUUCGUGGACUAAAGUGUUCAUUUUUACCGAGUUCAUGGACUAGUGGUGUAUUUUACUCUUUAGCAUAACAAAGUCUAGAUACCUACUCCCUCUGUUACUAAAUACUCAAUUGAUCAAUUGAAUUAAUUAUAAUACGGGCAUACGAAUGUAUGAUCAAUUGGCUCGAAAUCCAGUCAUUGGCCAGACAAUGAUUUUCUCGUGUAAAAUAAGCCAGCCUAACGCGUCACCUGAAUACAUAGUGCAACUGCGCAGUCAUUUUCUCUUGCGAUUCCCUAAAGAAAAAAUCUCUUGCGACAAAAAAUUCUACAAAUGGUCAAUUCUCACAAAUAUUAACUAUAGAAUGUUUGUUACGGCCGCCCGGAAUACGAUCGACUUUUUUUUUUGAAGAAGGAUAUGAUCGACUUGAAGGCAUAAAAAAGGACAAGAGAGAACACGUAUGGUGAGAACGUACGGGGAGAACGGGUGCAAUGGUUGGUGUUCAACGAACGGGUCCGGUUGCUUCGAGCGGUCGCCAGAGUGAGCUAGGAGUCUUACAUGGUGACGUACGUGCAAACAGAUUUCCUGCCUUUGCACCAUGCCUGCUAAUUUGGUUGGUUGCAUUCCCUUUCUAGCUUUCGUGCAGGGUCCGUUAAGAGUUAAAAUAAGAGUAGCUUUUUGACUCUUGUUCAGGAGUAAUUCAUAGCGUGGUGGCAUCUGAUUAAUUAACGCACUUGAGACUGACCUCAAAUGCUCUGGCCGGCAUAUAAAGCGGGACUGACCUGAACACGCUUGAGACGGGGCGGCAUGGGCGUGGGGCGUGACUCUUUUUUUCUUGAGUAAACUGCCCCACUUUUAUCUUAUUAUACUAAAAGUAAUACCAGGAGUACCGAGAAGGGCAUACAUCGUUGAAUCCACACCAUCUCAAUUAUUCUGAUCGUUGGAUAAGAGCUAUGAAAAUAUCUGGCCGUCCGUUAUGUGGACCCGUGAUGAUCAACGUGUCAGCUAGCUAUAAGCGUUUCGCUUUGUGCCUAAGAUUCAAGGAUCGAUCCCCACUGCUGAAAAAAAAAGAAUUGAUCGUCCGUUCCCCAUAUUAGUAUCAGAAGGGAGAAAAAUGACCCUUCCCCAACCCAUCUUUCUUCGUCCUCUCUUGGCAUAUCUGAACUCUACAUCGCUGCCAAAUUUAGGAUCAGGACCACCUGCGCCACCAGCCCACCACCGGGGCCACCUUCUUGCCGCCUUUCUCAACUUGGCCCUGGACAAGCAGCACCGCCAGCGACGAACAGUGCCGCAGAUGUGCCGUCACCGCCAAUCUAGGACGAUCAACACAUGCCCCACGAAUAGUCUGCGACGCCGCUCUCUACUUCACCUCCGUUGUAACAGCCGUCGCGGCCACCCCAACCGCUGCCGCUACCGCCGAUCCCCGCACCGACAAAGGCAUCUUGCCCCGUCGCCGCCACCAUCCAAUCGUGCAGAGCCGGCCCUUGGUCAUGUGUCGUCUCCCCUCUCGGCUCAAUGGUGCCCUCCAAACACUUGUUGCCGUCCGCCGCGCAGGCUCACCCGUCGGAGUAGAGGACAAAGUGGACGGAGCAAGGGACGGCGGCUACACGAGUCGGAGCGAGUGCUUAACUUUUUGAUCUCAACUGACUCUUUCUGUUAACAAAUCACUAGGAGGUGGAUUUGGUGCUCGGAUGGGAUGACGGUAACGAGUGCACCUAUGGCGGAAGCUACCUAAAACGCUAGGCCGUCUUCUCCUGCCUCGCCUACGUGCUUAACUGCGUCGCUGGGGUCUGCGCUGCGUGCUGCCUCGCCUGUCAUGACGGGCAUGAGAUGAUCCCCGCAAUUCGAAUGCAUUUGCUUAUAUACAUAUCGACAAUGUUAUCUUAAUCAUGAGUAACGAAUCAGAUGGAUAUAUUAUAGUGCUCCAUCAACGGAAAGACACUCGGGUAGUCAUGAGGUUCCUCAAACUUCUUUAAAAUUACGAAUUUCAUGUCCUAUCCUGAUUAUCUGAACUCACAUAAUUUAAAAUGAACCACACAAAUCUUCUACUCAUAUGAAAAUUUGAAUCAUAAAAUAAGUAAGUGGUCGCCCGCGCAUUUGCGCGGGCCACUCUGCUAGUUAACUCAAAAUCAGAAAACAAGCAUGGGGACGGCCAGGAAGCGGCGAAUUCAGUUUCAGAUUUUCUGCUGCAGAAUUGGACAGAGAGAGAAACCGCUCCUGGGCCGAAUAACUAUCUAUAUAUAGCCCAUCUUGUUCUGACCUAGCUCAUGGGUUUCGGCCUGAUAUCAUCCUGUCGGAAUGUUAAAGACCAAACCAAGCCAGUAUUUUCUAAAAAAAACCAGUUGGGCUACCAAAAAAACUUUAAAGUCUAUGCCCUUGUAUUUCCCAACUCUUAAUUAAUAGAAUCGCCCCUGCAGUUUUCAUCGGCAAUAAAUUAUACAAAAUUCUGCUCGCGAAGUGGUAAAAACAUGCAGAAAAUCAGCUAAAACUAUUAUUUUGAUUUUACAAGUUGUAAGCAGGUGAAAUUAAGUGAGGGCGGACUCGCAUGAAUAUAUAUAUAUAUAUAUAUAUAUAUAUAUAUAUAUAUAUAUAUAUAUAUAUAUAUAUAUAUUUACCAUUGGUGUUUCGGAAGAAAAUCUUAUGCGACCCGGAUGGUACAACUUGAGGCUGGACCCAAUGGAUGGGCAGCCAUCUGGCCUAGUGGUGUGUUUAGAGGAGUUGGAAAUCUCUGCAUGGGAGUUGAGGCUCAAAAAGAAGGAUGAUCGAUCGGUCCAGCACAGGUCAUAGGAGCUCCGGCCGCAUAAGAUUUUUCUCCUUCCAACUGAUUUUUCAAGUAAGAGGCGGCAAAUGUAAAAUGAAAAAAAGCAAAAAGAAAAUCUAAAGAAGAAACUCUAACGAAAAGAUGCUAAAUCGGCUGUCAGAAGUGGGGUUUGAACCCACACCCCUCGUAAGAGGACCAAAACUUGAGUCUAGCGCCUUAGACCACUCAACCAUCCUAGCUAAUUAGAAUGUUUGUGUUUAUAAAGCUCUCCUGGAUAGGCCUGGGCUUCUACCGUGCGAAUGUUCGAACCUUUUUUUUUUUUUGCGGGUACGAAUGUUCAAACCUGACCUUCAGUAUUCUUUGUACGGAAUCAUCAUCAUGUAUAGUCUAGCUAGCGCCCCCUCCGUAUGACGAUGGAUGUCGGUCUUCUGUUUGAUGAGUCUAGGAUGUGUUUAGAUUAUGGCUAAAUUGUGUCUCAUUAUUAUUUUUUGUCAAAACUAAAUAGUUGAUCGUUGUUUGUAUGGUUUCAAUUCAGUGGCAUGCUAAUGUUUCCUUUCACACAACAAUUUAUUUUUCUUGUUAAUGUUGGCCAAUUCGUUGGAAAGCAAAAUCUUGGCUGGACAACUUUUUGGUAGGAUGAACCUAGGCUAAAACAGAACACACACGAAGAAUUUUCACACAAGCAGUUUUUAGGUGAUCAUAACCAUUUUACACUUCGGUUCUUUCCAACAUGGUGGUGGUGCCUCAAGCAAGAAAAGUGUUCUGCUCGCUCAUUUGGUGUCACAUCCGUUUGUCCAGCCUUUGGGCGGACGCUUGUUGAGGAUCCUAGAUAGAUUAUAGACCCUAUCGGCUGUCACAAAAGUCAUUGUGGCGUUGAAAGGCAGGGUUCUCGUUACCAUGCCCGAUAGAUGUUGUUGGAUUAAUAUGCAUUUAAAUAGCUGACCACAUGUAUAGCUUCGGCAUAGUCUUACCAUACACAUAUAGUAUUGUGUGCUUAUUCUUCUUAUUUUGUAAAGUAAAUUUAAUUUCAGUAUUAUUUGGAAAAUUUCUCCAGUAAAUGAGUGGUCAUUUCCGGCAACUUUAUGUUUAUGUGAUUUUUGUUUCAAAAGUUGUGGUUAUCUAAUAUCAAAUCCUUAAAUGUUGUGGCUUCAUUAUAGUAACACAUUCUAUAAAAAAUGGUCGAUUGUUCUAUAUAAAAAAUAUUCGGUAAAAUUGUUAUUGUUUGAGGAACUAGCCUGUGUAAGGGAACGCACCCAGCUAGCUAGCAACGAACUAGACCUAGAAAAAUAAAAAAAAUCCUGGAAGGAACUUUUGCUUGGACAGCGUACGUAAGCACAGUGCAGCAUAAUUUUGACUGAGCACCUUCGGCUCUUUUAGCAACGUCGACUUGAUCAAUCUUGCUGCAAACGAUCGUGCUUUCCCUUUGGAUGGUGCGGCCGGCUGCAAAUGAUCGUGUCUGGGGGUUUGGCAGUUGGCACUGCCUGCUAGUAGCCUCCUCCUAGCUUCCCUUUCCAUUCAUACGGAGACAUAUGUACGUGACGAAUGUAAACAGCGAUCGACGUACUCCUACAUCACAGCAUCCCGACAAGGCUACAAGAAACAUUGCCAAAAUGUCACGUGUGAGAUUUCCGUAAAAUUCUUGUCUCAUCUAGUCGCCUAGGAACAAAUUCAACUAUUGUUUUCCCCUAGGAGGCUCGAGCUAGCAGUCUAAUCUCGACAUCAACAGGUAGUAUGGAGGUAGGUUGUUUUGUUUAGUGAAGGAUAUGAUAAGAUGCGCUUUAUUAGGCAAUGAUAGCGCAUCCAAUCCACUCAUGCGCCAAGUUCCGCGUGGACCGAACGAGGGUUUGAUGGUUGAUCGAGUGUAAAACAUCACUGGGUAUUCCCUCCAAAACUGCGGGUCGUCGUGUUCUUCACAGGGACUAGGCGAUCUACAAUUGAGUUAGGACUAAAGCUAGGUGAAUCAAUCAUAAAGGGUAAUAUUUGAACCAAAAAUAAAGACAACAAUGCAGCAAUGAACAAUAUUUUUGUGAUUUUCGUUAAUAGAAGUAGCAGUGGACAGAAAUUAAUUACUAGGCACCCAAAUUAAUCACAAGCAAACAUAUAAGAAAGAAGAAGCAAGUUGUUUGGGAAAGGGAUAUAGUACAUAACAUGGCAGCACACACAUAUAUAUUAUGACAGAAGAUUAAACCACACUCACUUGUACAAAGCAUAAACAGAUCUCAGAACAAGUACAAUUAUGUAGUCACAAUCUCAGGUGAUGAUGCAAUAGCUCACACAAAUCCAUCACAAUUCAAGAACUAGACAAGAUUAGCAGAGGAGAAGACAUGGAUAGAAUGAAAUUUGUUCCUAAUCCAUGUGAGCAUUACAACGAACACUUUGCAAUCGGAAUCAAGUUCUCCACGCAAUUCACAGAAACAACAAGGAAAGAAGGAGAAAAGGGAGGGAUUAGAUGGGGAUUAACCCAAGGUGAAGGAGCAGCACAAGUUGGAGAAGGGGAAGAAACUUAGGUUGUUCUUCGUGCUCGCCGGAGUCACUUGUUCUUCGCCGGAGAAGGGAAGAAGCUCAGCAGCUUGGCGAAUCAUGGAGGAGCUGCAGCUUGCUGUUGAUGUAGACGAGGAGAUGGGCUGCAGCUGCUGCCCUGCGACGUGGAGGAGAGGCAGCAGCAGGUCGGGGGCACGGGGCAGCAGCAAACUUGGUGGCACGGCGCGUCGCCGGCCUGGCCGCCGCGGCGGCCGCUGGUGGAGCAGCAGCAGGGAGAGGGAGGGGAAGUAUGGCAGGCCUGAGGCUUCGUACGUGAAUAGUUAGGGAUUUCAAUCCCCACUCCUCUGGCUAUUAUGCAUUCUAGCCCUUCUACUUUUCUUCCUCUCCCACAAGUAGAUCUUUUUCUCUUCAUAUAAGCUCUUGCUUUCUUGUAUUCUUUAUGCUCAGGUCCUCAAGAAUAAAGCUUCAUUUGCAGCUUGUGCAAAAUUAGGAGAAAGUGUGCCUUUUCGCACCGAUCUGCAGGAAAUAUAAAUCAAAGUGUAAAUUUGCUCAUUUGAUCACAUAUUGUACUUAUAGCAUUCAGUUUUGAGGCAAAAAGAGACUAAAAUGGUGCCAAAAGGUAGGCAAAUAUCAUGCAAAUAUGACCUUGAUCAAUGGUGACAAAAGAACUGCCCAUCUCUGCCUAUUAGGCAGGAGCACGGUGCAUCCAGAACAAUGGACAAAGCAGCAGGGCGGCUGCCUGCUCGCCAAAGGUCUUCUAGAAGGCGCACACACCAACCAACAUCCCCUGGUGUUCACUCCAAAAGGAAGUAUUGACAUGGAGCACUUGUGUGGUUUGGGUAUUGUGCUGGCUAGUAAUGCUAACCCUUUUAAUAUGGAGAAUUGGAGUUAAAAUAAACAUCCAUAAUAAGUGUGCUGGAUUAACUUAUUAUGGACCGGUGACAUGUACUUCCUACAACCAUAUGAACGGUUCAAUGCAGAGUGUCGUACAAUGAACGGACAAGAAAUGUCGUACGCAUAGCAUCGUUCAAUAUGUUACUUUUCUAGUAACAUAGAUUAGUAACAUGUCUGCAUCCGUGCUUUUACUAUGGAAAUGUCACCCGUGUGUGCAAAGUUGCAACAGUCGGCCGCUCUUCUUCUCGCUCCUGCAAUUAACUUGCUCGGCCUUUCAAGCGAAGUCAUUGGCACACUCAAUAUUUUGGAUUUAUGGAAUUGUUUUGGCCGCCCAACGAAGCGGAAAUGGGUGAGUAUCAUUUUGUCGCUAAAUUCUUGCACCGAAUUGUUACGUGGCUGUUAUCUGCAAAUUUACCUUGUUUUGCAUAACCGUAUCAAACCACGAGCACUAUUUAGUAAGAAGAAAAACUCUUAGAAAACUAAUACUCCCUCCGUCCCAUAUUAAGUGCCGAAAUAUUACAUGUAUGUAUACGUAUUUUAGUAUAUAGAUACGUUUAUAUUUAGACAAAGUUGAGUCACUUAGUAUGGGACGGAGGGAGUACAUAAAUCAUAAACAUAAUCAUAUCAGCAUCUUAAACGUUAACAAGACAAUAAUGAUCAUCAAGAGAUGGCCCCAAUUUUUAGCAAAUUGUUUUUUGUUGUAGUCCAGCAGCCUAUUGCCAGAGUCAUGAGAAAAAAGGGUCCGGGUUAGCUGCAGUUUAGAUUAGAUGGAACGAAAGCCUCGUAAAGAAUUUUUGAAUUUUACUCUACUGCUAGUGAGCUUGCACGUGCAAUGCACGUCUCCACAAUACAUGGCAACUUUUUAAAUUACCUUUUUUAUAUGAUGACUCGUCUUUCUAUAGUUUUUUUGUCUAUCUUAUUUUUAAACCAAAAUGCUAAAAUUGAGCCUAAAAAGAUGCCCGCAUUUUUUUUCUUCAUAAAAUCAUCAAAUCUAAACCAUGAUGAUGAUAAGUAAACAUGCACCCUAACACACUGAAGUAGAAUCAAUCUCAUUCGAACAUAGAAAAUAUUCAAAAUCAUCAAAUCUGAACCAAUUAAGGAUACAUGAUUUUUUUAACACAUGAUGUUAUCACAUCUCACCUGACACAUCUACUCAACAUGUGAAAAAACAACUCCAGUCUCAAAUUUUGUUGCAGGGAAAAGAGUGAGAUAUCACCUCAGUUGCCGCUUGCUGCUAAUUAACAGAAGCUAAAUCAUUAACAAGAAACAUCAAUCUUGGCAAAAAAGAAGAAGAAGCAAGAAUGCUGCAAGGGAAAUAGAAAACUGCUGUGAGAUUAUUUGCACCAACCGGACUAAAGAAUGCCCUCAGAUUCCACGUCAAAUUGACUGAAAAAUUAAAAAGUUAUGACCAAGUGAAAUUUGAUCCGAAUAUUGUUGUUUGGCCAAAUUGAGAACUGAAUUCAUGUCUGCAUUUCCUGUCUAUAAUAUGGUUUGUGUGUUAUGUGAAUUCUCACUUGCAUGGAACAUUUACGGAAACUGCAGUCCUUCAUGAUCUAUUGAAAUCCUAUUUAUAGUCCACAAGAUUCCAUAUUUACAACUUGCAGCUACCUCAAGACUGAACUGAUCAAGCAAUAAUAGGGUAUAUUUAGAAAAUGCGGCUCCUGCUCUCAAUCGAUUAUCUACACCUUUCAUUGUAUUUUACCUAAUGAAAAAGACACCAAAACAAGUGUUUUAGACUUGUAAAUUAGUAAACUGAGAAAACACUAAAUAUUGGAUCCCUAUCGGCCGGCUUCUCCCUACUCCAAAGAUCACGGACAAUUUCUUCAGAAAAUGUGUUUUUUGUCAUCCCUGUGAAUGUUAGGAACUGAAAUUGAAUUAAUAUGUGCUCCACAUCAGAAUGAAGACAUGCAUUCAUCCACUUGAAAAUGAAGACAUAUUUAAAAUACAUGAAUGGAAAAAUAACUUCACGAGAGGAGCCGAUAUACCUUGUCCUAUAACGUGUCAAUCCCUUUUUGCUACGGCGCUUCAGUGCCAGAAAUACACUCAUGCCAUCUUCUUAGCCCUACAUAUUAUACAGGACAUAGAAUUCAGUCAUUCAUGCUUGAAAAAAUAUACUAUGUGAACCCAAAAAUAGGAAUUGUGGAGACCAUUGCUCAUGUAGGCACACGAAACAUGAAAUAUAUCAAAUUUCUCAACCCAAACUCUAAAGUACCAUCUCUAACUCUGUGCCAUCCAUCGACGGGUGAGAAUGCACAUGAUCCUUCUGAAGGACUACCACUGCGCCACCAUGCUUAAAAUUAUACUUGAAAAUGCAAGGUACUUAGAGAAAAUCACCGUAAAUAAAAUAAGAUACUCCCUCCGUCCAGCAAAAGAUGUCUCAAGUUUUUUCUCAAAAUUUGAAUGUAUCUCUAAGUCAUGUAUAGAUACAUUCAAAUUUAGUCAAAGUUGAGACAUCCUUUGUUAGACGGAGGAAUACUGAAAUCUUCCAGCUCGACAUGCAAAAUUGCCCAUAAUGUAAUCUGGUUUAAGCCUGAAUGUACGAUUUUGCAUACAUGGAUAAUAAACUGCGAUUGCGGCUCUAUGUUUAGAUGUCAGGCACCAGCUAAUUAUCCAACUAAUAAUACCCCGUACAAUAAUUUUAAAACAAAACUUCACAGCAAGAUAGUAGAGACGUACUACAAAAUGCAUGGAAACUAUGGCAUUCUGUCAAACACGGAGUUUACAGAACCAGCAAGGGUGGAGAUUGGCUAAACAUGAAAACCAAGGAGUUGAUGAGCCCAGUCCGUGCAUCCCAGAAGCAAAGAAGGAAGGGGAGGCGUCAGGUCAGGGUAAGGCGGGGGAGGCAAGAGGAGUCUGGCGUCGAGACUCGGGUCAGGGCAAGGCAGGGGAUUCAGCCGCGGGGCUGCGAGAUGGACGCGGCGGUACGAAGUCCACGAGCGUUGACAAACGCGACGGCGACUGGGCACCCGCGCAGAUGAGUCGGCAGCUGCUGGUCGGGGCAAGGCGGGGGGAUUCGGUGCCGGCGAGGGCAGCAGGCGCGGGAGGGCAGAGGCGGGGGCAGCGGAGCGAUGGCGGCGCGUGAUGGAGUGGAGGCGCGGUUGGACAACGUAUGUGGGAGGGCAGAAGCGGGGGGGGGGGGGGGGGCGUGAUGCGGUGGGCUCUGGAAGGCGGGCGCGCGCUUGGCGGCGGCGUUGAGCGGGCCCGACGCGGGAGAGCAGCGAGGGUGGCGGCGGGCGCGAAGGGAUGCGGGAAGAUGCUUCGUGCGGAUCGGAGUCGGGUGACAGAGUAUGUCGGAUGUUAAUUAAACGCUAAGCGUACACAGAAAAAAAUUUGGAGUGUAAAAGCUAUGUUAGUUCUGAUUUAGUGGGCCUAAUUGUUUAGUAAUUGUGAGGUGAGAAUGGUUUGCGUGUUUUUUGUGGGGUAAACCUAGAAAAGAAAAUGUUGGUGAUUUUAUAAGUAGUAUAGAUUAGCAUCGCAUAAAAAAUGAACUGUUCUCAUUCUCCGUGAACCUAUCCCAUUCAACCGGCGUUGAACCAGUGAUACAGUGACAGGCAGUCUUUUUUCCAACGAUCUGCCUACCUCUCCUCUCCUUCCUCGCUCCCUGAGGAGCUGGCAUUUGGCACCUCCAUUCGCUCCACCACUCUCCAGUCUGUCUUCUCCCCCGGCACACUCCACCUGACCGUCUCCCCAGGAGCAAGAGGAGGAAGUAAAUAUAUUACGGAAUUCCCAGGUCUCUCUUCUCUCAGCUGUUCCCAAGAUCGCAUUCCCAAAUUCGCAAUUCGCGUGCAUGUUGCUGGCCCAGAUCCGAUAUUCUCUCGGAGGAGCCAGGAUUUGCGGGAGGUGUUACUGAAUUGCCGGCUCUCUGGUUUGAUGCAGGCUUCUUGGGCCUAGUUGAAGGUGAAUUGGCAUCCAGGGGGUUGACUUGACUGGUGGUUCCCCCGGCGCCGGAGAUGGGCAAGGGGGGCGGCUGCGUCCCCAGCAAGAAGCGCCAGCCGCCGGCUACCACCGUCGCCGCCGCGCCCUCGUCGUCAUCCGCCGCCGCGGUGCCGCGGGACGCGCCCGAGGAGGCCCUGGACUCGGCGGCUGAGGAGCCCAGGCGGACGCUGCGGCUGUACAUCGUAUUCUACUCGAUGUACGGGCACGUGGAGGCGCUGGCGCGUCAUGCGGCAGCGGGGGCGGGCGCGGUGGAGGGGGUGGAGGUCGUCCUGCGGCGGGUCCCGGAGACGCUCUCGCCGGAGGUGCUGGAGAAGAUGCAGGCGCCGGACAAGGACCCCGCCGUCCCGGUCAUCGCAGCGCCUGCCGACCUGGAGGAGGCUGACGGGGUGCUGUUCGGGUUCCCGACCAGGUACGGCGCCAUGGCCGCGCAGAUGAAGGCCUUCUUCGACUCCACGGGCUCCCUCUGGGAGAAGCAGGGGCUCGCGGGGAAGCCCGCCGGCUUCUUCGUCAGCACCGGCACCCAAGGCGGCGGCCAGGAGACCACUGCGUAAGCAUAUCAUCGCCUUUUCUGCACAUAUGAAUUAAUUAAUCUAUCAACUAUUUCAUCUUUAUGGUAGUGCUCGUUAUGAUGCACUCAAGAUUGGUACCGUUGAUUUGGUUAUUUAAAGUACGGAGUAGACAAUAUUGGAACACUUCCUCUUCCAUUCAUGGAAUUAAUUAUCACAUGUUAGGUAUUUUUAGGUGUUGAACUGAAUGGACAAAUGUCAUAUAGUAGGUAUUUUAGGUGCUAAACUGAACCUUAAGGUGGAUACAUCAACAUAAUUCUAAUCAGUGCACUGUGAGGAACUUCUGAUUUUGGUGGUGUUUUUAAGUGCUUCUUCAGCCCAUAAGGUGUCAUUGGCAUACCGUCUGUGUUUGCAAUAAGCAAUCCAUGAACAAGUUCUUUAUUUUUGUUAACAUCAUAUUCUCUUGUACUUUGUUCUGAAGAUUGAUUUGUUGGUCCUUCGAAAGCCUGAAUUUUCAGCAUGAUGUCAACGUUAGAUCAUUUGCUCUUGGACUCCAUCCAUCCAUAUUGUUUGUGUGUUCACCACAAACUAGGCGGGGAAUCUGACUGAAAGGGGAGUUCAACAUACACAAUUUCCAGCCAGAGUGCACAUUGGUGUCUUGACAAAUUUCACGUAAAUUGUCCUCAGGGGCAUCAAAAUCAAGUUAAUAUCAUAAACUAACAUGUACAGAUCAUGGUGGUGACACAAUAUGGCAAUGAGGUGCCAUACUAAUAGUAUCUACUAUUUAAAUUGCUAAUGCACUGUUUUCUUUACAACUAAAUCAUUAUGGCUCUGUACUGUGAGAUUAUUAACAAAAGAGAUAGAGUGACCGUGGAUGCAUUUAAGGAUAAUAGGACACUGGAUGUGAUAUGUACAAAAGGGAUCCAUGAGUUAAUGUCAUGGUACCAGACUACUUCUAGGCUUGUACCUAAUCAGCAUUGGUUGUGCUACUGUUCAACCUAGUGCCCAUGCUAAGAACGAGCCGUCAGAUUUACAAUCUGUUAGCCAUGAUAAACAUGGACAACAGAUAUAGCGUUCAGGAGUUCCUGUGAUAGCAGAGAAAAUUCAUUUUGCUCUAAGUAGUUUAUCUGCACCAUGCCUGAUACAAUCCAUCUCUAACAUGACAGGUGAUGAUGAAAAUCAAUUAGCAUAGAGGAAAGCAUUAGCUGGUUUUACCUCUCUUGAUUUCAAAAUAAAUAUUACCUUGUCAUGAUUGUGCUGUGUUCUCAUGUCAGUAAAAGUUGAAUGUAUCAGUUUAUGCCCGCUGCCUAGUAAUUUGUUUGAAAUGCUUCUGUACUCUUUAUCUGCUUCCGUUGGUUUUCAGUCUGUGUGUUCACUCACUCUGCUUGUCUUUCACUGACUGGCCAUAUAUGCUUUGGUUGUUCACUGCAGUUGGACGGCGAUCACCCAGCUGGUGCACCACGGGAUGCUCUUCGUCCCAAUCGGCUAUACCUUCGGCUCUGGCAUGUUCAACAUGGAUGACAUCAGAGGAGGCAGCCCCUACGGUGCUGGAGUCUUUGCUGGCGACGGCAGCAGGCAGCCCAGCGAGGCAGAGCUUUCCCUUGCCGAGCACCAGGGCAGAUACAUGGCUGCCUUCGUGAAGAAGCUCGCUCAGGUCUGAGGCAGAGCCGGAUCUAGCAGAUGAACCAUCCAUCCCUGUGCAGCCAGUCAGCGACACACCAUUGAUCAGCUAUUGUUUUCCUCUUCAGCUACACAUGUUCCUAUCGCCCAUAUAUGUGCACAGCUUGCGGUCAUAGUGUUUGUCGAAGUAGUCAUCAUAUAAUUAAGUUGAGGUUUAUUUGUACAUCUGUUGACAUAAAUAUUUUUUAUUGUGCAUUUGGAAAAUAAGGUCCCGUUUGGAACUUGUGGGUUCUUCUGAAUUGCUGUGGGGAUUGAACUGAUUGAUGUGAAAGAUUGUGUGCAAAGCUUAUUGCUAGUACUUUGUUUUCUGAAGAAGAGCAUGUUUAUUUAUUUUUCUUUGUCACCCUUCGCUACUGAUGCCCUGUCUGGAAUGUGAGAUUUUCCCAAAUUCAUGCACAAGUUGAACAUUCCUUAUGAAAUGCCCUGGUUCUGUUUUUGUAGGCAAUUUUUUUGCUUCUUAGGAGUCUUUUUUUAUUUUAGAAUUCACAAAGAUAUUUUUAUUUCUCAAGCGAAGUUUUAUUUUAGAGUGCGGCUAUAUCUCAGACGCGUGAUUUUUUAAGCAACAGGGUUAAAUCUCAAUCAACGCACUAGAACCGUUGGAUUAUGGUCUACACGUCAUUCCCACUCACUAAUGCAAUCAUUGGAUUAAGUUCCAAGGGCAAAUCAUGUAGACUUAUGUCUAAUUAAAAACGGGUUUGAUAUUGAGAAGUAGAGUAAAUUGCACGGAACCACCACAUUUCGGUGACUUAUUACGAAAACCACCGAUUUUGCUAAUUUUCGCGCAGAACCACCGCAUUCAGUGAAGUUGUUGCACAUAGCACUAAUUCUGUCGAUUGCUCCGUAUAAACGCGUUUCUGACCGACCGGAUCCACAUGUCAGGUUGACCAGGCCGAGCCGGCGUUACGCCGUCCGUUAGCCAGGUCUGUAGAAGCCUUUCUCCUCUCCCGCUGACUACAGGCCCCACCAUCAUCCUCCUCCUACUAGUGCAUCCGCUCGCCCUUGCUCCCUAUCAGCGCCGGCCGCCUCGCGCGCCGCCCCGCGCGGCGCUGCUGGUCCGCCACCGCGUGUCUUCGCUGCAUCCCCCCGCGUUGCCUGGUUCCGCGCUGCUGCCGCCCCCCGCCCCUACCGCCGCUGCUGCCCGCCGCCGCCCUAGCCUCCCCACGCGUCGCUGCUUGCGCGCCUGGCCAUGCGCGCCCCUCCGUGCUGCCGCCGCCCCUGCUGCCUGCCGCCGUGCGCGGCCCCCCUCCCUACGGCCGCUCCUGCCUGCAGUAGCGCGCGCCGCCCCAUCGCCACCGUCGCGCUCCGCCGCUGCUGCCGGCAGCCUGCGCGCGCCGCUCCUGUCUGCCGCUACUCCUGCCUGCAGCAGCUCUGCCGUCGCGAGCGCCCCGCUCCGCGCGCCACCGCUGCUCCUGCCUGCAGCCGCAUGCGCCGCCCCGCUCCGCGCGCUGCCCCUUCUCUCCUGUGCCGCCGCGAGCGCCCUGCUCCGCGCGCCACCGCUGCUUGGUUGCGAGAGAAGAGAGACAGCAGGGAGGAAGAGAAGGGGGCGGGGAGCUAGCCGCUUCUGCUUGCCUAGACGGCAUCUCGGAGCUGCGCGCGCUGGAGCUGUCCACGUGGCUGCUCGCCGGAGAGAAAGAAGAGAGAGGGAGUAAUCCAAGUGGCUCUCACAGACGGCGUUAACAUCAGUUCGGCCCACUCAACCUGACAUGUGGGAUCGGUCGGUCAGAAACGCGUUUAUACGGAACAAUCGACAGAAUUAGUGCUAUGUGCAACAACUUCACUGAAUUGCGGUGGUUCUGCGCGAAAAUUAGCAAAACCGGUGAUUUUCGUAAUAAGUCACUGAAAUGUGGUGGUUCCGUUCAAUUUAGUCUUGAGAAGUAUCAUGUUUUUUAGUUCGAGGCCAGUCGACAUUCCACAUGUUUAACCGUCAAAUCUUAAUCCAACGGUAGCACGUGGAAGAGGGAAAAGUGAAUACAACUCUAAGAUUUUAAUCCAACGGUUUUGAUAUGUCAGCUGAGAUUUAGGAUCAUUUACUUAAAAAUCAGGUGACAGAAAAAUAGCCACAUCCAACUAAAGACAGACGACUUAGCAAAACUAUGAAAUCUGAAAUACCAUUCAGCCAGCCCAGCGGCCAAGCUCCGGCAAAUAAAAGAAAACUAUAAAUUAAAGGCGUCUCUAAAAUAGGGGUGGACACGUUAAACUCAAACCUUGUAAACCCAAUUGAACCCGAAACCUUGUAAACCCAAUCGAACCCGAAUAAACCUAAUUGUCGGUCUAUUCAGGUUCGGUUCCAUUUUCGGCCUUAUUUGGAUAUUGUGUCCGGGUACGGGUUUGACCCCAAGAAACCUGAAAAGACUGAAAUACCGCUGCUGCUAUUUAACUUUUGCCAAUUAUGGUGUGAUGUCGUUGUUGCGGUGGUAUCUAGUUUAUUUUGAGGAGUAAGUAACAACGGUCUUCUACUAUUCGAUCCGAACAGACCGACCGGAUAUAUAGUCGGUCUAUUGGGUUUGGUGCUGGUUUAUUUUUACAGAAAUUCGGUUUAAUAGUCUAGAAACCCGAGCCCAUAGACCAAAUAAAACCAACCGAACGGAAUGCCCUGGCCUACUUCUCCGGUGCGUACAUUUUAAAAUUUUGAAAUCGCUCUUCGAAGCCGCAGACCCGCAGUUGCAGCAGUCUCUUCUCCUCCUCUCCCUUCCCGUUUGCGUCGCCGAGCCACGCCCGGAACGCCUCCUCGGCCCCCGCCUGCCCAUAGCCGUUCCGUCGCGGUCGCCGUCGUUCCCGCUGCCGGUACGAGCACCCCUGUCCUCUCCCCCACGUCCCCUUCUGCAGGAUCUUCGAUCUGAUCGCGUGAGGGCCGAGAUUCCGUUAUGGCUCUAAGUGCUGAUGUGUUUGAUUAGGCUUUAGAGUGGUUGUAUUUAUGCAGCGUGAUCGUCUAUUGUUGUCGCUCCGUAAAUCGUGACGAUAAGGAGCCACGAUUUGGUUGCCUUUUUGGUUCGAAAUCCCGGGAACAUUGAUGCGAUAGCUCUGUCUUAAACAUAUAUGCAUGUUGUUUUCUGAACACCAAGCGAAGGGAGAUGAUGACAUCGUUUGAUAUGGACUCUGGAAGGAUGUGCUACAAACCUGAAUUUUGUUAGAACAUGAAACAGAGGAGAGGGCCGAACUGUAGUUUGAAUUUGGGGGAAAUUGGAGCUUGAAACUAUCGAUGAAAACAAUCAAACUUAGCGAGUUAGGAUAGAUCAUCCAUUAUCUUUCCUGAAUCAGUAACUUUAGAGAUUUGUAUUGAACAUGGAAGGUGCAGUGCCAAAUUUCAUGUUUCUACGGUGGGCUUCACAGUCAAUUGUAUUUCCUGUAUCCUUAGAAAUGAAAACAGUUCUGAGUACUGACAUUCAGCAUACAGUAUAAUUCAGUCAAAUUGAUAUGGACUGUGUAUGUCCUCGCAGUGCUUAUUAUGUGGGGCCAGGUUUACAGCCCACGCAAGCGGGCAGGUCAGGAGUGCAGGCAUGAGCCAAGAGGAGGCGUCGGUGCAUCAGAUGCUGGAGAUACUGCAUUUCGGAUUCACUGUUUGAGCCGAUCGGCAUAUGCUGCUGUGUUGAGAGCGUUCUGUGCUCAGUCAUACCUUUUUCCAGUGGUACUUCCCAUGGAUAUUUCCUUUUAAUCCUACUAGUUCUAUUGCAAUAUAUCAAUAGUUAAAUCAUAGGUAAUUGGAUUGGUCGGAACGUUUUGUUAUAUUAAAUUCUAUUAAAUUUGUAGUAUACUCUUGAGUUUUGACCAAGACAUAAUAUACUUUUUUCUGCAUGUAACUUCCAGGAAAGGUGGUUUAUGCCUCACUAGUCAGGCUCUUAUUUUUUUCCUGCAUCUAGAAUUUCCACUUUAUUUCAUCUGGCAUGCUUUUAGACUGCAUGAAUUAUUUUGCAUAGCAUAAUUAGAAUUUAGCACAGCUUUAGCUAAAUUUGAAUGUUUUCAAUGCUUGUUACUUUUGACUUAUUACAGGCCAAGCAAGAAUGUCUUGCUGAAUUGAGAAAUGGACUUAAAUUAUCAGGCAGUGAGCACCAAGAAUGCAUUGUAAAGGCCAGUACAAAUAGCCAUAUCAAGUCUUUAAGGUGAAUAUUUACAAUUUACCUAAACAGGGUAUUGUAGUAUUGGUUCCCAGAAUAAAUAAAAAUGCCGACAGAAGUACUUGAGAUUUGAUCUGUUGUACAGUUUAAAUAUCUAACAUUUUUCUAAAUUUGGUUCUGUAAUUGACAUCUAGUGCCAGUUUCUUAUUUCCAUAGUGGUCAUAUCAGUUUUUCUGUUCCUGCCUCCUUACUGAUGUAAUUUUUGCCCAAAACUUGACAACUGUCACAGAACGGAUCUGUUGAUAUGGUCGUGCAUGUCGUAUUGCAGGUAUGCUUUAUACAAGGGAAAGAAUGGUAAUGCUGAAGCUAUGAAGGGUUCUCUAGGUCUUGCAUGUGUGAUACCAGAUGCUGGAGAUGCUGCAUUUCAGAUUCACUGCCUGGAGAGAUCAGCAUUUGCUUCUGUGUUAAGAGCUUUCUGUGCUCAGUCAGACCUCCUCUCAUGGGUAUAUCUUUCAUUUUCAGCCAUACUUCUUGUACUUGCAAGUUAAGUUGUGAGAGAUCACUAAGAAAAUCACAAAUAAUAGGAAUUGCUGGACCAAUUGCAGGUUUUGUAUGCAUAACUUGGUCUUCAAUACUAACUUUUGUCUGUAAAUCUUUAAAAUUUCGUAUUCAACCUCUGGGGAAAGGUAGUCUGGUAGAACUUUCCAUUUGUUUUUCUCCCUUUUGACUAAAGAAAGCUUCUGCCAUAAUUUGUUAUUCCUGUGUUUUUUUAUACCGGUUCUCAUUCUUUCUGCAUUCUUUUGUUCUUCUGAUGAGUUAUUUUGGAUAUCAUAAUUAGCGUGGGUUCAUCUGUUUACUUUUUCAUCACUCUUUACCUUUAACAUCUUGCAUUUACAGGCCAAGCUUAUUAAUAAGCUGAGAAAUGAACUUAGAUUAUCGGACACUGAGCAGCGAGAAGUUAUUGCGAGGGUCAGUUCAGAUGACUAUAUCAAGUCUCUGAGGUGAGCAUGUCUAGCCUUUUUAGAAAACAAAGUUAAUGCUUAUUCAAAGACUUGCCUGAACUGCAGUUUCAGAUAUAUAAUCUUUCUCUGUAAUGGGCAGGAAAUACAGUUUAGCUAAUUACUCUGGUCUUACGAAGAAGACUCUUGCUUUUGACGUACGUGUUGUGGUUCCUGAUAAGAUUGACAAAACUGGACAAUCCUUCACCUCAUCGGCUCAACAAUUACCAAUGCCAGCAAACACAACGUCACUAGCAAGGUGGCAAUGUCAGAAAUCAAGUGAAGUUGGAUUUUCUGCAGUUUCACUGAACAAUAUUUACUUAUGGUGCAGGAACAUUGGCAUAUUAGGUACCUCUCCUACAGCCAAAAACGGUCCUUGUUUUGGUCUUCACGCCGUGGUGCCUGCUAAGAAGUUGAAAUCUGGAAAUGGGAGUGCAUUAACAUACUUUAAAUGCCCCCCUUGCGCUGAACAAUCGCCGGUGGCAGUUUCUUCUAUGCUGUCGGUAUGUAUUCUUAUUUUUGGAACAUUCAAAAUUAGUCUGGAAUGGAAGCUGUACAUGUUUCUGUGCCUCUGCCGACAAUUAUAAUCUCCAUCGGUUCCUUUCAACUGCAAGGUCUUGAAAAAUGAUGUCCAAACUUUUCUGAAGGAAACUAUCAUAGUUCAUCGAUAAUAUGCCCAUGUAUAUCUGUUGUGUGAAACUGUCAAUUUUAAAUGACUAGAAAGAACCUUCUUAGAACGUCUGUGUAGUUUUUAACAAACAGUUUUUCCAGGGAGCAUACAUGCUUUUAUCAUGAAAACAAAUUAAGUUUAGGCUGUUGAAAGGUCACUAAUACUAUUCUGGUCCUUUGUGCUGAUUGAUUGUUGACAGGAAAGUUCCAUAGAUGAUCCUCUUGAACAUAAGAAAUCACUAUGUGACAUAAAGGCUGGAUGCGCUGUAUAUCCCAUGUUCGAAGAAAAGCAGCGCCAAUCAAAUGCUGGUCAAGUUCCUUUGUGUGUCCAUCCAGAUAUGCAGGCAUCAAGGAAAAUGGGAGCUGAAGUGUCUCCGAUGAGCAGAUUUAAGAGCUUGAGUUUUAUCAUUUACGGUGCUGAAAAUGCCAAUGAUGGUUCUGACAUAGUUAAGAUCCACCUAACUUCUAGCCUUCUAAAAAAGGUAUGUGCAUUAUAAAAACCGUAAGCUUGGCUGCGGGCUUGCAUUUGUUUUGUCUUGCUUAAUCUGUAAUAUUUGGAGCUUUUGUACUAUCUAUAACGAGCUUCAGCCUCACAUAUUCUUAUUUGCAGGUUGAAACACAGUUAAUGAGAGGGAAGCCAAAUCCAGCUAUGUUUAACACGGCGAAGUCAAUCCUUAAAGUGAGAAUCCCACUGAACUUUUCUGUGACUCAGUGUGGCAACAAUUCAUUUCAUUCAUAUGCAGUUAUCCUAAUUUGCUUUGUUUGCAUAUUUGUCUUGAAUUAGGAUCAAGAAAGACACCUUUUGGAUGCACUUGUUGAACUCUCUGAAGUAUCAUCUGCUGGUAAGUUACCUUCCAGUAACCUUCAGUUUGCUUAGCAUAUUGCUAGUUUCUUUGAUCUUUUACGCAUGGACCUGAAAUUGUAAUUCUAAUGGGCCAAUGAAAUAAACCUUUUGGAUGAAACUGAAGCGUUUGCAAUUAUUCCUCGCUACCGGCAGAAAUAUAGGCAACAGAUAUUGAUUGUUGAUGUUUAACAAAAGAAGCUACUGCAAAAUAUCACAUAACUAAUCAGCUACUGGAUGUGCAAACACGACAACUUCGGAUUGGUUGGACCAAAUUUGACGUUACAAUCAUAGAUUCUGCCAAAUUUACUCUUAUUUUUUCCAAACUGAAAUUCUGGGGCCUCAAGUUUUAGCAUUGUCAUAUUUGCCAUUCCCGUCACUGCCGCCAGGACUAAUCCUUUCGGCCGUACAUGUGCUCCUCUGUAGCGGCGUGCCCUGGCCAGCACGACGAGGAGACGCCACCGCUGCUGAAGUCGGUGAGCAGCUCGAGCUACGAAGAGGCGCCCGCCACCGCCUCGACCUGCACCGCGAUCACGGGGCCGCGUGGGGCAGAAGCAGCACGGGGGGAGGCUUUCGAGACCAAGGGCGCGCAAGGGAGGGAGCUCGAGCCGGCGGCCAAGCGGGCCUGGCGCCCCACCGUUAAGCUCUUGGAGUCGGAGUGGGUCAAGUGUCUUCCAAGGAAGGGGAAGAAAAGAAUGCAUGCGUCACCACCGCCGGCGCCGGGUCAGUGCACUGCAUUAUUGGCUGGAUGCGUGUAAAACGUGGGUGGAGGGGUGAGUCACUGGCGACGUUGAGUUCUAGUACUUAUUCGGGUGAGCGGAUCUAAUUAAGAAUGCGAUGGGAUGUUUGUGUUCCAAGGUUUUGACCAAGAUUGCUGGUAAUAUAAAUUGAACUGUUCUGUACGAAAUUCCCGAUGUUCCGAAAUUGCAGCAUCAGGCUUAUUAGUCGCAACCCAGACGAUAAUAUGUUCCGAAAAUGCAGCACCUACCUGUAGCAAUUUCCAGCAUCCGCACGUGUCGCCUCUGAGCUAGAGAUUGUGAUCCGCUACCUUCUGAAAACGCCUUAAAUUUUUGGCUCUUGGCGACUAACUGCUCUGCAGCGACCGCUGGCCCCUGCUGCUGUGUGUCGUGGUCGUGAAUCAUGAAAAGGUGUCAUGUAUUGGCCUAUUUUGUCGCGACGGGCAAUGAAUCGGUGCAGAUCGCCAUCAAGACGGUGACUGGAGUCGGUUACUCUUGGGAAGAAAGGAGACGACCCAAAUCCAAAUCCAAAUCCAACCUGCGGCCAGGAAACGCACCCAGCCAGACAGCCAGCGCCGUCCAAUAUUCACCGGCCGAGCCAUCCUUUGAUUUGGUCAUUCUUGUUCAAUCAAUCGACUCGGCGUUUCAUCUUCAUCACAUCCAUGCGUGCCAUCACAUCGUCUUUGAUGAGACGAGAUGACCUGGGAACCAGACUUUCUUGCUCGGUAUAGUUGAGUACAGUAUUAAGGUCCAGAUUCUUUCGCCUCCACAGUAGUCGGAGUUGAAUAGGCCGCGUGUGUAGUGUACCAUAUGCAUGGCCAAGCCUUCUUCUGCCGCGACGGCAGCCGUGGGGGCGAAGGUGCUCAUCGCCUGCCUCAACGUCGGCUUCUUACUCUUGCUCACCUUCUUUUGCCUCUCGCGCCCCGGCGUCGAAGCUGCCGUUCCCCUCUUGCUCGACGGCGUAGGUCAGCGGCUCGAUCAGGACAAGUGCGACUACCACGGCGACUCUGGGUCAGCAUUUGAAAGGGGGCGGGGCCACGUCGAUUACCUGUACCUGUUCUACUGCGUUUGCGGCGAGGAGCGCCGGGCUCUCGGGUACGCCUUCGUGGCGGCGUGGCUCGCCGUGCUCUUCUACCUCCUGGGCGACACCGCGGCGGUGUACUUCUGCUCCAGCCUCGAGGGCCUCUCGCGGCUGCUCCGCCUGUCCCCGGCGAUCGCCGGCGCCACGCUCCUGUCGCUCGGCAACGGCGCGCCCGACGCGCUCUCCACCAUCGCCUCCUUCGCGUCCGGCGGCGGCGGGGAGGGAGGAGGGAGAGGGACCACCGUCGUGGGGCUCAACGGCCUCCUCGGCGGCGCGCUGUUCGUCUCCUCCGCCGUUCUCGGCGUCAUCUGCCUCCGCCCCGGCGGCCCCGGCCGCGGGUUCCCCGUCGACAGGCGCAGCUUCUUCCGGGACGCGUCCUUCCUCCUCCUCGCCCUCACCGCCGUGGCCGUCGUCCUCGCCGCCGGCAAGGUCAACAUAUGGGGAGCUCUCGCCUUCACCUCCCUCUACCUCUUCUACGUCCUCGCCGUCGCCUUCACCCACGGCCGCGAUCGAGGAUCGCGCGUCGGAGGAGGAGAGGAAGAGACGGACCACACCAACGCCGCCUUGUCAGAGCUCUGCGACGUCGCCGAGACGAAUUUCUAUCCGUACCAGGACCAGGAAGAACCACUGCUCCCUGAGACCGCGCCCCUCCUGCAAUACCAUGCCGAUGAUGAAUCCACGAAGAAGAGUAAGAGGGCGAGUGUGUUCUGGUCCGCGGUGCGCGUGCUGGAGCUGCCUCUGUAUCUGCCGCGGCGGCUGACGAUCCCGGACGCGAGCAAGGAGCGGUGGAGCAAGCCGGCGGCGGUCACCGCGGCCGCCCUUUCCCCUCUCUUCCUCUCCUUCCUCUGGAGCCACACCGCCCUCGCCCUCCUCCUCGGCGGUCUCGCGGGCGUCCCCAUGGGCCUCGCCGCCUUCCUCACCACGGACACCGACGCGCCGCCGACGAGAUUCCGCUCGGCCUGGCUCGCCGGCGGCUUCGUCAUGAGCGUAGCCUGGGCGUACGUCAUCGCCAACGAGCUCCUCUCCCUGCUGGUGUCCGCCAGCCUGGUGCUCGCCGUGGACCCAGCGACGCUGGGGCUGACCGUGCUGGCGUGGGGCAACUCGCUGGGCGACCUCGUCGCGAACGUAGCCGUAGCCAUGUCCGCGCGCGGCGGCGGCGGCGGCGCGCAGGUGGCCGUGGCCGGCUGCUACGGCGGGCCGGUGUUCAACGUCCUUGUCGGCCUCGGCCUGUCCUUGGUGCUCUCGUGCUGGGCUGGAUAUCCACGGCCUGUAGAGAUUCCCAGGGAGGCCAGGCUUUACCAGACGCUGGGCUUCGUGGCUGCUGGAGUUUUAUGGACUUUGGUCAUGCUGCCGAGAAAGGGAAUGUGGGUGGAUAGGACGCUGGGAUUUGGGCUUCUGGGCAUAUACUUUUGCUUCUUGUGUGCUAGCGUUUUACAAGCACUUGGGAUCGUCUGACCAAAUAAUGUAUGUGUCAGACCUUCUGAAUUUUUAUGUACAUAGCUUUUGGAGCUGUUCUUUUGAAACAACUGCUCCCUCCGUCCAAUAAAAAAUGUCUUAAAUUUGUCAAAUUUUGAAUGUAUCUAAAAUCUAGACAUGACUUAGUGUAUAGAUACAUUCAAAUUUACUAAAAGAUGAGACAUCUUUUGUUAAACGGAGAAAGUAGAACGUCAUGCGCUGCUGCACGGUUGAGGUAUGAAUCAAAAUACAACUCGACAACACAUCUAAAAUUGAUCUAACCAAGAGAUCGUCACACAAUGGCAAGAAAACGUCAUCCAGAUCGACAACCAAAAUUAUUUGAGGUUGACUCAAAGAAGAAUGAUACAAGCGACAAAUACAAAUUGCUUAGGUACAUCAGAAAAUCAAGCUUGGCAUGGUAAAGCAGCGAUGUUGCCGCAAAAACACAGCGCGCCUCAACGGAAAACGGAUCAAAAACAAGAUCACACUAUCUUGGAUCCAUAUACCAUCUAUAUAUAAUGUUUAAAUGGAUGAGCGAAGUUGCAUAUAUCUAUUGGAAACUUGUUAUGGGCUUCCGUAAGGCGACUGUGUUUAAGUUACAGGAAUCACAGAUUUCAGCUAUGGCAAAUGGUUCUCGUCUAGGUGAUACACUGAUUGCUUGUCUAUUUCCCUUGCCAUUUCUUUGCUGCCUUGUUUUGUAUCACUCAGGAAAUAUUGUCCACCCUCCAGCUGAAGAUCAAUCUACAACUGCCAGAAUAAAGAAUUAGUCAAAUAGUAGCAGCAGCGCGGUCGUGCGAUCGUUCGGCUGAGGGGAUCAGGGGAAUCAUUUUCCAUUUCAGAACGGAUGACUAAAUAUUCUCUUAAGAGAUAGUGAAAUAGAUUCCCAAAACUUUUAGUUCCUAUGUGAUAAUAAUGAUACCAGAAUUGUGUAAAACAAGUUAGACAUAAAACUAAAUAUUUUUGCUUCAUGAUAAUUCAAAGGAAAGGGUUUCCCUUCAUGCACCCAGCUUCAUCAGGCUCUGAACGAAUUAACAACCGCCUAUAGUCAUUAUCAACAAAGUGUCUAGCCGGAUAUAAAACCAAUCACUAAUUAACAUGGCUGAUGCUUGUAGUUUGUUGGUUAAUAUUAAAGUCAUUUCAGCUUUCAAACAAUUAUACACUUAUACGUUCAGCUCAAAUACGCAAACUCACGGCAAAACAAAUACAAAUCAAGCAAUUUUAAUGCCUGCUGAAAGCAAGUAGCAUACCGUUUUCUUACUCCAGCUUGACCCGGCUUCUUUUCAAUCGACCAGGAGACUUCUCGAACACACCCGAAGCUGGACGCAACCAGAACCAAAAGCCCACCAGGCGCCGACGGCCCACAAAAGUCCAUCACACCCGAUGGCUUCGAAGAAAAAACAAAAGCGUCGACGUGGCCGAUCAGGCAAGAAGAGAAACUCUCCGUGACGUUUAGUGGACAGAAAGACUAGAUGAUGUCCUAAGUUUUUCUGCGAAAUCGUGUUAAAACAAAUGCGUAAGUAGAUGCUUAUAAUUAAUUAAAACUAAUAGAAAAAAUUGUACAAGUGUUCUUAUUUUACAUUUAAAAGAAAUAAAAGCUAAGAAGUAUGUGAUAAAAUAAUUUAUAAAAGAGAAGACAUCGUUGAAUUGAUGAGGUAAAAUGAUUUGAGUUGAUAGGUGAAUGGAAAAAUGUAAACGAAUAUGCAUGGCUUGAAAAAAAACAUGUAUGACAUGAUUUGCAUAGCAACGUGGUGGGCCUUCUACACCCUACUGAGGUGGCAUUUGCAUGCUGAGAGAAAUAGUUAGUGGGUUGCCUAUUUAGAUAUAGAGGUAGAAGAUAAGAAUAGUAUGACCCCUACUCUCCUCGCCUUCCCUGUUUUGUGCGCUUGAAUGAAUAGUUUUCAUGGACUGAGAUAGUAAAUGAUACACUUCGUUGGCGGUCAUCCGCCCAACGCAACCGAUUCCGACUAGCGUGAACUUGAACAAGCGAGAUGACGAACGAGCCUCGUUGCCCUCUUCAUAGGCAUCGUCCACAAGAUUUUGUCCAACAAGGACGACGAGGAGAAGAGGAGAAGGAGGAGGUGGCGGCUAAGGUUUAGCCCCUCGAGUUGCCUCGGAGGAGACAACCCGAGAUGCCUGAGGGCCGGCUCCUCGCCUCUUCUGGAUUGGCGAAGAUCGAGUAUUUGUUCUGUCACUGAGGGUGAAACUGGUUAGGAUAAUUACCAACUGAAUCCGUUUUCGAAUCUGAUGAUGGUAUAGGAUACGAGAAGAGAAUUAACUAUCCAGCCGGAUACAGUAUAUGAUAUGGUACGAGCGUUAUCCGACAGAUAUCGGAUUAUCCGACACUAAUAAUCCGGACAUUAUCCAUUUCAGCUCACUUACUAGCCUAGACUAUGAAGCCGAGAAAAGCCCAUAUCCCAGCACACAUCCUAACCUAACCUACUAGACACAUUCGCAGAGGAGAUGAGACGAGUCUCUCUCGGUCUCUCCCAAAUACGCACUGCUCCCGGCGGUGUGCGUCUUCUCCCAUGCUCGCAAGGCUUGUGCGUCUGGCUCCUUGCGCCGUUUGAAUCUUCAGUGUGUGUAAGUAACCAUUGUUGAGUACUUGAGUUGCGUCCCUGAUUUGUCAUAAUCAGUUAUUACUUGUACGCAUUAUUCAACAAUCAUUAUCAUUUCCGAUCUGGCAAAAAAAUACCUCUGCUAAAUCACUGUCAACCCGAACUAACGAGAAACCAAACACCUCUUAAGGCACCUCGUCUGAUUGCUGAAGAAACCCAGAUGCUUACGUUUUGGGAUUUUAUUUUUUCUGUUUGGUACGUCCAUGGUCUCUCGGAGUCGGAGGGGCGCGAAUGACCUCCUGAAACGGAGACAUUUUACUUUGUAAGAAUGAAACGGAGACUCGGAGACAAUAGAAUAACACGCACCAGAACUCCACCGUCGUCCAAUUAAUGAUUUGGAGUGAGUGCCGAAUAAAACAAAUCAAGUUAGUGCAGGCACCAUGUGACGAUGGCAUGUGAAAAGUGAAAUCCAGUCCGUGGCGCACCGGAUUCAAUCCCAAUCCGAUCCUCCUCCAACAAAGUAAGAGCAUCAUCAGGAGAGCCCCUAUUUCACCCCCUAUCCUCAAAUAUAGGUAUUCUAGCUAAAAAACGCUCUUCCUCCCGGAACUGAGGGCGCCCCCAAAUCGCCCUCCCGACGACCCAAACUGAGGUGCCGGCUAGGGGCUCCCGGAAGCGAGGAUCUCAACGGCCAGCUCCGAUUCGCGCCAAGGUUCGUCCUCCUUCCCUCCCUUCUCUCCCUUGAUUCGCGUUUUUGGCCGAUGGGGAGGCGGGCGUCGCCGGCCGAGGAUGGGUCGGGGACGGGUCGCGGCGGUGGCGGGCGAGAUGGGGAGGCCGGCGGCGGUGCUGGGCGGGAUGGGGAGGCGGUGCUGGGCGGGAUGGGGAGGCCGGCGACGGUGCUGGGCGGGAUGGGGGACAUGGGGAGGCGGCGGUGCUGGGCGAGAUGGGGAGGCCGGCGGCGGUGCUGGGCGGGUCGGGGGCGCGGGGGCAGAACGGAGAGCCAGAGAGGAGGGGAGGUGAGGUCGGGGGCGCUGGCAGAACAGAGAAGAGAGAAAGAGAUAGCAGAGAGAUGAGAAAGAAGACAGAAGAGAGAAGAGAGAAGAGGUUAAUUUGGUAGAUGCAAAUUGGUAGAUCAAUUUAGUAGUUCUUUCAUGAGAUUAGAACAUACAAUUGUGACUAAAUUGCUUAUAAUUUCUUUCAUGGUAGCAAUUCAUACACUUGAUGGAUGAUCACAGUUCUCCUAUGGGUUUGUACACAAACAUGUUGAGUGAAGGAUACAACGAAGAAGCUUGGGGCCAAAAUUUGAGUAGUCCUAUGGGUUUGUACACAGCAGAUCAUACACCAAUGCAUGCUAAAGUUCCUACUCCUCCAGUAAAAACAAAUAACAAGAGGAAAGGAAAUUUCACUGAUAAAGAAGAUGAAGUUUUGGUGGCUGCAUCGUUGCAUGCUAGUAUGGAUCCAAUAGUAGGUACUGAGCAAAAUAAUGCCACUUAUUGGAAUAGGAUUCAUGAAGAGUAUGAAUCCCACAAGCCAGAAGGAAGUGAUCACAAUGUCAAUUCCUUAUCGCAUCGUUGGUCCGCUGUGAAAGAACAAGUGGGUAGGUUUUGUGGAUGUUACGAGCAAAUUAUGCAUAGGCGCGAAAGCGGGAAGACAGAGCAAGACAAGGUAGUUCACCUAGUUGUUUAAUUUCAUUGUAUAUUCAUAUGUCAGGUGCAAAUAUACUGAGACAUGUUCACUUGUGCAGAUUGUUGAUGCUUUCAAAUUGUUCAAGUCACAAGAUAAGACCAAUAAAGGGUUUGUGCUAAUGCAUUGUUGGAACAUGUUGCGUUUCGAACAAAAGUGGUUAGCUCAAGUUGACAGGUCAUCUCAAAGUAAUAAAAAGCAGAAGUCAAACUGUAACAUCCCAAUUUUCAAAACCCUUCAUAUGCAUUGCAUAUCAUAAGCAUCAUGUCACCCUUGCAUUUGAACACCUUGAAAACUCAAGAUUUUGCCCAGAAAACCCUUCUACAGAAACGCCUUUAUUUGAUUUUGGUCGUUGAUCUUGCUUUUGAGUAUUUGCAUUUUAACCCAUGAGGGUAUUGUGAUAAAAAGGGAUUUAAUGCAAAUAUAAAACUAUCCCAUAAUUGGCUUUUGAAAGUAUUUUGAAAAAUAAUUUGUUUUGAUAACCUAAGGGCCCUAAAAGCCAUUUUAUAUUCUAAUGUAUUUUUAAAUAUUUUAUUUUGAGGAAAUUCUUGUUCCAAAAGUUAGAUCAUAUGAAAAUAUGAUUUUACAAAUUUUGUUGCAUUCUAUUUGGAGUGAUUUGGAGCUCCGAAUCAAUUUUGAGGUUCGAAAUCAGAAAAUAGAUAAAAGAAAAGGAAAACCGAAGAAAACCGGUCAAACCGGACCGAACCGGACCGGCCCAGCCCGAACCGGCCGGCCCGCUCUCACUGACCGGUGGACCCCGCACGUCAUCUUCUCCAACUGUCUCCUCCGGAGUCCACGCAGAGCACGCCCCGCGAACUGCCCACGAAUCCGUUCCGAUUUCUUCGCGCACGAACCACCAAAUCCGAAACCCCACGCGUCAUAUCGAAGCCCCGAACUCCUCUACCAAUUCCCCCAAACUGCUCGCCCAAUUUCGCAUCGGUUAGGAUUUAAUUUCUCGCCAAAGUUCUUCACGGACGUCGCCGUUCUUCGCGUUUUGCCGUUGUUCCGAUGAGCUUCCGCCCGCGCCACUCCCCUAGCCUCUCUCCUCUCCCCGUCCCGAACGCCGUGACGCGCUCGCUUUUGCAUUUGGCCGCCGCCGCCGCCUCCGGCCGCCCGCGCCGGCCAUCUUCCUCAGCGCCGGCCGCCGCCCGCUCGUCGCGCCACCUCCGCGCGCCGUCCGUGCCCGCGCAGCCACCUGCGCCACCCCGCUCCGCCUGCGCCGCCGCCCCGCCAGCCCGCGCGCUCCCGCGCCCCGCGCCGCCCGCGAACCCGCCGCCUGCCGCGCCCGCGCUACCCCGCGCCGCCCGCAGCCGCCCCGCGCGCGCCGCCCCAGCCGCUCGCCCGCGCCGCCGCCGGGCCUUUCUGGAAUCGUCACAACUUGUAGAAUAUUUUAGCACUGUCUAAUUUCAGUUUUGAACAACUUAGACAGUAGCUAUUUACAGAAUGGUUGAUUAUGGUUUAAAUUUCAAAUGAAUUGUUUCAAAAUAGUUUUGAGCAUGUUAUCUUGCUGUAAAAUUAUUUGAACUUGUUCUCUAUCCAUUAGGACCAGAGAAAAAAUUAUUUUGUGUAUAAUCAUGGCAUACAAGUUAAAUAAUGCUCUAUGUUGCAAAAGCUGCACAAUCUUUUGUUUUUAAACCCUAUUCAUGUAUCAUGCAUAUUAAUUACCACUUUGAUGUUGUAUAAUCUGUCCAAAUCUUUUGAGAGCCUUUUCAAAACAGAAACGAAACUUUGUACGUUAGAAGUAACCUUUGUGUGCAUCAUCUUGGCAUAUGCAUCAUGGCAUGGUUUUUGUAUUGAAUGUUGUGUUUAUUGUGUGUGUUUCUUUUAUUUUAGAUUGUGUGGAGUGUAUUUCUUGUUGUUGCGAAGAGUGCGAGAACUAUCACAACCUUGGACAAGGAAGUUCACUUUGAUCAUAUCCCAUUAUUAUUGUUGUUUUAAAAUACUUAUGCACUAGUGUUGUUGGUAGAGAUGCAUUGAUAGGACUAUUACCCGUACCUCUAUGCUAGCUAUAAAUCCCAGGUAGUAUAGUUUACUCUCGCCAUUACCUUGCUACCAAAUUGCCAGCGAUUGUAGUUGAAUGCUAAGCUAUGGUAGUAUCGUGGGGGAAAUAACUACAUUAUGAUAUUGUUAUGCCUUUGGCUAUAUGAAAUGUUUUUGUUAGAUGUAAGGCAAAACAACUAAUUAAAUGAACCAUCCUGGGUGGGCUGCUUUGAGGAUUUUGAGGAUUAGCGGCGUCAGGUCCAUUUCUAUGGGUCCCUCUGAGUCGAGUUCCUGUGGAUUCAGGAAUGGAUCGUUCAUGGACGUCUCUCCCGUGGAUUCGGGGAGCGCCUACGUUGCAAAUGUGGAAUGCCACCUGGGGUAACUGAGACUGGACCAGUUUCCUAUUUAGAAGCUUCUAGUACAAGCACAAUGCUAUAUGGGCUCUGACGAGACAAGAGUAAGUUGUAUGAACCUAAACCCGAAGAAUUGUACUGAGGUAGCCGUGUAGGGGGAGCGUGAUUCUCUCGUGGUUUAGGGAAUUACCUCUGAAAAUCUCGUAAUCGAUGCCGUUGCUACUCUACCCUGAGGACAGCAAGGGAUUAACACGUCGGUUUCUUGUGGGGAAUGUGUACAAACUCUCGAGAGCGUCAAAACUAAGUACUUAGCCGUGUCCCCGGCAACGGACAUUUUGAGCAACUAGAUGUGGAGCUGUAAGGAAAGUCUCACUCAUUCCAAUUUCUUAAAUAAAAUGAAUGGUUUGAACAGGGUAGGAGCACUUGAAGAAUCCACUUCUAUGUACUCUAGGUUAAUAGGAGCAUGGGUGUGUCUACCCAGUAUCCAUUAGUUAACAUUAUUAUAACAUUCCUUUGUAGUAGGGUAAUUUAUGUUCUGCUUCCACGCAAAUAGCCUUGAACCCCACUUUGCCACAUUAUGCAUAUACUUGAUAGGUUCUGUUAUAACUCCUGGUGAAUCUUGCCAAUACAUUCAAUGUAUUGACCCUAGUGGCUGCAUCGUUUCAUGAUGCAGGAAGCUCCGACGACGAGUAAGAUGAACGUUUUGCUUAUUUGGGUUACGGGCUUACAUUCCAACACGCUCUCACCGUGGUGUUGAUGUGCCCUUGUAUCUUUCGCUUUCCGCUGCUAAACUGCUGUUUUAUUUCCAGCUAACCCGUGAGGUUAUGCGAGUUGUAAGUACCUUUUAAACUCUGGAUGAUUCGUUGUAAUAUUGAGAUCUUUGUUCUAUGAUAUUACAUCUUCAAACUGUGUGUGCUAGUGAGUCGAUCCAGGGACUAGCACUAAAGCACAGAGAUCGAACCCGUGUACGGGGGCGGUCGCUUCACAAACUCCAAUGCAAGUCCAAGCAUGUCUACUCAAGAAGCCAACACGAUCCAUCUUGAUGACUUUGAAGCUACAUCUCCUGUCAAAGCGGAUCACAUGAAGAGACCUAUUGGGAAGAAGGCGGAGAAAAAACGGCAAUGUCGAGGUAAAAAUGUUACCUCUUUAGAAGAUAGUAAUGUUGUGAUGGCUUUUGAUGUUGUGUUCUCAAAGAGGACAGAGAUGGAGAUGGCAAGAGAAACAGCAAGACAAGAAAGAGAGAUGGCAAGAGAAACAGCAAGACAAGCAAGAGAGGAUGCAAAGGAAAAGCGUUAUGUUGGAGCACUUGCAAUGGAGCAAAGGAAGUAUGAAUUUGAGGAAUGGAAGAUGGAAAUGGAGAUCAUAAACAAGGAUCUUAGUUCGUUGGAUGAUGACAAAAAGGAAUGCUACAAGAUGCUACGGCGUGAUAUCAUUGACCGACGAUCUAAAAGAUCAAUUUGAGUAUGUUGUUGUAUUAACUAUUUGAGUAUGGACUAUGUUGUUCUAUGCACUAUUUGAGUAUGGACUAUACUGUUCUAUGCACUAUUUGAGUAUGGACUAUGUUGUUGUAUUAAAUAUUUGAGUAUGGCAUAAUUCGUUAAAGCAGUUGCAUACAGUACCAUACAUAAUAUAUAUUACACCCCUCCAUAAUGUAAAAAUAGUACAUGCUAAAUAGAUCAAGUCGGCAGGGUAACCUUCUUCGGGACAAAACCUUUCCGACUUAGAUCCUAACUCUAACUACAUACGACAUUGCACACUAUGUUACCCCAUAAAUUUGCCAUAGGUGCUCAACCAGGUCAUACUUUAGUUGAGAGUGGACUUGUGCGUUGCGGAUGUCAAGAUGAUUUUGAAUGAAGUUCGAGAAUUCAGCCGUCUGUGCAUGAGAGGGAAUAACCUUUUCUCCCAUGUUGUCAUAAUUGUAGUCUUGCGGACCUUCAUCUCGCUCGUCUUGAACUAUCAUGUUAUGCAUGAUAACACAAGCUGUGAUGAUAUCAUGGAGUACUUCUUGAUCCCACAGUCUUGCUGGUCCACGAACAAUUGCAAAACGAGCUUGAAGCACUCCAAAUGCUCGUUCCACAUCCUUCCUAUGUGCUUCUUGACAUUUUGCAAAAUAUUUAUUCUUCUGCCCUAGUGGAGAGGGUAUUUUCUUCACCAAUGUUGCCCACUGCGGGUAUAUGCAUCGGCAAGGUAGUACCCAAUUGUAUAAUUGUUACCAUUUACUGUAAAAUUAACUUCUAGAGCUUGCCCUUCUGCUAGCCUUGCGAAGAUCGGGGAACGGUGAAGAACAUUGAUGUCAUUAAGAGAGUCAGGUAAACCAAAGAAGGCAUGCCAAAUCCAUAGGUCUUGUGAAUCAACAGCUUCUAGAAUCAUUGUGGGCUCAUGCACAUGGCCAGUAUACAUACCUUGCCAUGAUGAAGGGCAAUUUUUCCACCCCGAAUGCAUGCAGUCGAUGCUCCCUAGCAUUCCAGGGAACCCUCUGCCCUCGCCAAUUGCAAGCAAUCUAGCGAUAUCGGCUUCAUUUGGAGAUCUAAGAUACUCAUCUCCGAAAACUUCAACAAUAGCUCUAACAAAUGCUUUCAUACUUUUCAAAGCAGUGCUUCCUCCAAUCCGAACGUACUCAUCUGUAGCAUCCGAUGCUACACCAUAAGUCAACAUUCGGAACACUGCGGUAGCCUUCUGAAGAGAUGAUAACCCAAGUUUUCCAGCAGCAUUUCUUUUCUGCACAAAAUAGCUAUCGUGUUCCCGCACAGCUUUCGCUAUGCGAAAAACAACGGCCGAGACAUUCGAAACCUGUGAAAACAAAGGUAAUUAGUUGAACACUAGAGGAACAAUAUAAAUGCAAGUAAAAACCAUAUGUACGCAUUGCUUACCUUCGGCGAAUAUGAGAGGCCAUAGACAGGAUGUUGCGCGAAGUAGUCUUCGAAUAAUCUAGCAUGCCCACCUGCCGUAUCACGGUUAAUUACCUGACGACCCGGCACUGAACCGCGACGGUGUCGAGCAUUGAACUGCGUGUUCGCGUCGAGAACUAUUGCCGCUGUGGCAACCAUUAGUUCAUGGCCGUCAUCUUCAUGCUCCUCCUCCUCCUCCUCCGACGAUGACGACGAAUUCACAUAUUGCCAAAGUAAACUACAACUCAUUUUUGUGAGAGGAGGCUGAGAAAUGUGGUAGAGUGAACAGACUGAGAGAUGUGGUGGAGAGUGAAUGGACAAUGGCUUCAGAGCUCCACAUAUAUGUAGACCAAGAAAUAUAUCCGUUGGAAAUAUAACCGUUGAGAAUAUAACCGUUGAGAAUAUAACCGUUGAGAAUAUAGCCGUGAAGAAUAUAGCCGUUUGAUAAUUAAAUUAUAAUAUUAUAGUUUAUGUACUUAAAUGAAUAUAAGAAUAAAACUAUUCGAUUUAAAUUAUAAGCGUUUCAAAUAUAUAAUUUCAAGUCAAGUAGUUUGAAAUAUAGAUUUUUUACAAAAACGGUUGAAGGAUAUGAAUAAAAUAUGGAUGAAUGAAUUAUAGGGGGUGAGAUUUAGGCAGUCUGAUUUGGAGAUGACAAAUUUGAAAAAAGAAUCUAUACUAGAGAGUUCCUAUAUGAAGAUUUAGGUGCUCACAUUUAAGUAGUCCGCUGAUAAUGCUCAUAAAGCAGCGGACGCGCACACGCACUUCCUCCUCCUACCAUUCACUCGCAAGGAUCUCCUCCGGGGGAAGCUCAAAUGAAUUGAAGAAACGUCGUCCAUCUGUUAGACGAGAAAAUGGCAUUCCAGUCCAGAAAUGGAGGGCCUUGCAAACAUGUUUGGGCAAAGAGCUGGAUUGACUUUACAUAAAUGGAUCGAGAACUAGGCAGGCGUUCAAGGCAGACAAUCGACCGUCGUUCCUGCACGGUCCCACCUGUCAUUGACUGACCGACCACAGCAGUACCGACAGCAACCUCCCCUCCAACGCCCCCGCACUCUACUAGCUUCUCCCUCCGACCAAUCACAGCCCACUUCCAGCUAGCCACCUAAUUAAGGAGCUUAAUCUCUCUCUCUCUCUCUCCCUGAGACUCUCUCUUCCAAGCUUGAAGCUCGAGCUGCAUCCGGUCACUGUUCACCUUUCCAGCUUCCACCACCAAUAGAUCUCCGGAGCAGCGCCUGCUAGCUAGCUGCUGCCAUUAAUCGAAUCCCACGCAAGCAUAAACGCACGGCAGAUCGGUAGAUGCGACCACGGCGAUGAGGGUGAGGGGGCUGGCGAUGGGCGGCAGGGAGGUCGCGAUCUCGGCCGUCUUCACGGGCCUCCUCGUCGUCUCCAUCCUCUCCCUCCCGUCGCUCCUCCUCACCACCGGCCGCUUCUCCCGCGGCGCCGGGCCCGCCGCCGACUGGCCGUUCCUGCAGCAGCUUGGCGAGAAGGCGUACCCGGCGUCGUUCGCGUACCUGAUCUCGGCGUCGACGGGGGACGCGGAGCGGGCGGCGAGGCUGCUGGGGGCGCUGUACCACCCGGCCAACAGCUACCUGGUGCACCUGGACCAGGAGGCCCCCGCGGAGGAGCACCGGCGGCUGGCGGAGCUGGUGUCCGGGCAGCCCGUGUACGGCCGCGUGGGGAACGUCUGGAUCGUGGGCCGGCCCAACCUCGUCACCUACCGCGGGCCCACCAUGCUGUCCACCACGCUCCACGCCAUGGCCGUGCUCCUCCGCCUGGGACGCCCCUGGGACUGGUUCGUCAACCUCAGCGCCUCCGACUACCCCCUCGUCACCCAGGACGGUAUGUCUGUCUGUCUCUCCACUCUCCACACGAACACCAACACGAAUCAUUGAUUGAUUGUUGAAUUUAGAUUUUGGAUUGUGUUUGAUUGGUUAAUUUGCAGAUUUGAUGGAGGCGUUCUCGCGGCUGCCCAGGGAUCUCAACUUCAUACAGCACACAAGCCACCUGGGCUGGAAGAUGUAAGAGCUAACGAAUUACUCUUUAGUUGAAGUAAUCAAUUGAUAGGCUGGGGAUUUUAAUUACUUUUGUGGAGAUCGACCGAUGGGAUCGUUUGAAUUGAAUUCAUCAGCAGAUGAUUGAAUAUUGAAUUUGAAACGCGCUAGCUCUGCAGAAAGAAGCGCGCUCGGCCGGUGAUCCUGGACACGGCGCUGUACGAGGCCGACCGCUCGGAGCUCCUCCGCCCUUCGCCCAACAUUACCAUCAACCGCCGCGGCCUCCCCACCGCCUUCAAGCUCUUCACCGGUACGUAACGUGAUAAGCCAUGAAUCUCUCCGUGAACCUGCAGAAAAAAUGGCAAUAGAAAUGUGCCAUUGCGUUUUUCGUCAACGCUUGUUGAUCGGAGAUACGGGGCCCGUGUCCGGGUCCGUACUACGGUACUACUAGGCCCGAUUGGUUUGGGUAGUUGUUCGUUUUGAAUUCGUCCUCGGUAGCAAUAGGAGACGUCAGCUGGACUGAGAGACGUACGGCGGAUAUAGUAGAGAACAUGUGGCUUGAUCAGUACGUGUAACCACCAAUCUGGCAUGGAAAAUAAUAUUACGGAGUAUCUGUCUUUCAAAAAAAAAAAAACUUAUCUCGAACGGCAAUCUAGUCAACGGAGUAGGAGCCCGAGUGCCACAAGGCAUUUUGCAGAGAGACUAGCUAGUUAUGCUUGCGCUAAUCGAUUUGGUAGAUCUGGAUCAGUGGUGAUCAGUCUAUUUUAAUGUUGGUUUAUGCUCUGGAAUUAUGCAAAACCCAGCAGAUCGACCAACCAAUGCGCUGUUCUGCGCUGUGCUGUUGUAUUGGCAAACAAAAGCAAAAGCAAAAGCAAACCUUUAGUUUUGAUCCACCGAUUGCUUCCAAGAAACGGCAGGUAUGCCGGCGACGUUCCAUCGUACGUGUCGGCAUCACAAGGCAAUCUCCAGAAACCGUACUCUUCCUAGCUGGAGUAGCACUAGAAGCAGCAGUGUCGCAAAAACCAAAGAUUUCAUUGUUAUUGAUUGAGCUGUACAAACAACAAAAAAGUCUGAGUUCAUAUCAGCAGUACUACUGUAUUUGAUUUGGACGAACAACAAAAGACUAAAAUGUGUGAAGCGAUGGAUUGCAGGGUCGGCGUGGACGAUGCUGUCGCGGCGGUUCGUGGAGUACUGCGUGAUGGGUUGGGACAACCUGCCCCGGACACUCCUGCUCUACCACGCCAACCUGGUGUCCUCGCCGGAGUUCUACUUCCAGACGGUGGCCUGCAACUCCGCCGAGUUCCGCAACGCCACCGUCAACAGCGACCUGCACUUCAUUCGCUGGGACAACCCGCCCAAGCAGCACCCGCUCUACCUCCGCCCCGCGGACUACCGACGGAUGGUGCUCAGCAGCGCCGCCUUUGCGCGCAAGUUCAAGCACGCCGACCCCGUGCUCGACAGGAUCGACCGCGAGAUCCUCAAGCGCCAGCCACCGCCCCGCGACGAUGGUGACAAUGGCAGUAGUGUCGAUGCUCAACAAGGCCGGUUCUUCAGCUACGCCGGGUGGUGCUCGGAGGGGGAGGUGGGGCUGUGCUCCGACCCCCGGGAGCUGCCCGGCAGCAGGAAGGGGGCCAUCAAGGCCGGCGCUGGAGCCAGAAGGCUCAGGGUCAUGCUCAACAAGUUGCUCUCUGCGAGAAAUUUCAGGAGGCAGCAGUGUAGGUGAGGAGGAUCUAGUAGCUAGCUACGACAAUGGCUUGUGUAACUCUGAUGAUCUGACCAAAUGUGUCGUGUACAGAAAGAGGAAGAGGACACCAAGAUAAGGCAAUUUUGGCUGGGAGGGGUUUUAGAGUAGAGAGGAGAGUUGAUUUCACAGAAUAAGGACAUGUACAUGGUGCACCAUUCAUGGGCAAACAUGCAUGGUCACAACUCGCAAAUUUGACGGGAUCUGCCACUGACGACCCAUGGACAAUUUUUUGUUUUUAUAGCGUUUUUACGGGGAGUGCCGUGCAUGUGUUGCUGUCUGUACAAGCAAGUGCUGCUGCUUAUAAAAGCACGAAUUGUGUUACAUCUAAACGAGCUAAGAGCAUGUGCAGCGUUGGUAAACAACCAUAACUAAGAAGAGAAAAACCAGUCCAAGCACCGCUUCUAACCAUUGCAGCAGAUCUAGCUAAGAAAUGUUUUGAAGAACCGGUUUUUCUACUUGCGUCCAUUCUAACUUCUUUUGAAAUCAUUGUUGACUUUGGUGGGGCUGAAGCGGGCAAGCUCCGGCCAUGGCUGGUAGGACUAGAUCGAGCCGGGAGGCCGGAAGCAGGAGGCCGAGGAGCUUGGCGGCGACAGUGGCGGCUCCUCCCAUCGCCAGCGCUGCUUCCCCAUCUCCUCUCCGCUGCUCCUCCCAUCACCGACGUGGGGUUCCCAUCAGCGAGCCGGACCAGACGGCGGCGCUCGGCGGCGGAAGGAGACCGAGGCAGGCGCUAGCAGUUGGGGAUGGGGGAGAUCGGGGAAAUCGAGUUGGGGAUCGGGGAGAUCAGGGAGCGCUAGCAGUUGGGGAUCGGAGGAGAACGAUGAGUUGGGGAUCGAGGAGACCUAGUUGGGUUGGUUGGUGGGCCGCAGUUUGGGAGAUUCUGACCAGUGGGCCCAAUUAGAGGUGCUAAGAAAACUUGUACAUUGGACCAGAUUUUUGUUUCCUAGCAUCGGUGCUUGUGUCAGGUCAGUAGACUUCCCACAUUGUUCUUGCUCUUAGAGCAAGCCCAACGUUGGUCAAAACCCGGUGCUAUACCGGUGCUAGGAGAUGUUGGAACUGGGUCUAGCCCUUGCAGCACCUCGGGGCUAAGAAUUUUUUUCUAGAGUCGGGUCUAGUACUUGAGUCGACUCCAAGAACGCGUUGACAACUGUGGAGCCCACGCUCCUCGCCUCACCUCUGCCUGCCGCUCGUCCGCCCGCUCGCCUACCGCAUCCCCAGCCGUUGCACUCUCACCUCUGUGCCGCUUGCCCGCUCACCUGCCCGCCGCAUCUCUGGCUGCCGCGCUCCUCGUCUCCCCUCCGGCUGCCGCUCGCCCGCCGCGCUCCUCGCCUGCAGUUUUGGAUUGAUGGGUGGGGAUCGAGUUUGAUGGUGGACGGGAUGGAGAGGGCCUCGUCGCUGACGGAGAUGUUGGUGAGGGCCACGUAUUAGAAGGUGUUUUUUGUCAUGAAGAUGAGACUAUUGCACAUCUUUUUUUCUGUUGUCGUGUCUCUCGCUCUGUGUGGUCAAUGGUCCAAAUAGCAUCCAAUCUUUUUCCCCUUCGUGAUGCUACUCACAUGUUUGGGUCUUGGUUACGAGGGGUUAAUAAAAUGUUGAGAGCGCUCCUAAUGGUUGGGGCUGCUGCUUUAUGUUGGGCAAUUUGGCUAUGCAGAAAUGAUAUUGUUUUUAAUAGAAAUAACUUAACUUCUCCUAUUCAGGUCUGAUAUUCGUGCACUCAUUGGCUCCGUACUUGGUCUAUGGAUCACCAGCUGACUUUGAUGGUGUGCAACAGUGUGGAACAAGUGGUUAGGGACUUGUUUAACCACUAUGGGUGGCGGUCUAGUUUACGGAUUGAGCCCGCUUAGAGUUUUUAUUUUUCUUUCAUUGUAAUAAUUGAGUUUUGUUCCGUACUCGUGUGGCUGUGUGUGCUUCGACGCAGAGGCCGGGAGUGUGAUACUCUUUGGUUGUAUCGCUCGAUAUAACUUUGAGAUCAAUAAAAGCUUCCAUUUUCGAAAAAAAACCGUAUUAGAAGGUGUUGCUCUGUGGGUUGCAGAUGAGCGGCACGGUGAAGAUGGAGCCGCCGCCACCGGAGUUGCCAGUGUUGGAAUCGGCUAGUGAGAGAAGAACCAGAAGCUCUCGGGUAAGGAAAGGAAAGAAUCCGUGUGAGUUUCGUGCUCAGGGAAGGAGUUGAGGGGAAAGUGGUGGGGAGAGAAAGUUCUGUCAUGUGGGUCCCGGUGUAGAGUACUAGGUUCCAAACAAAUCCAUACGUUGCAGCAUAUCUUGGUUUUGGAGACCCGGUUCUAAUGUUUUAGCUAGCAGUCCUCACAUUUCUCUUGCUCUAACGCUCCACAGCGGGCUAAUGAUCUGGGUCCCGAUUAUUCACCAAUCAAAGCAUGAAAUCCGUCUUGGUCACCGAUUGACGAAGAUGUGACUUCGACAAUGUCCAUAUUGAUGGACUUGUAUCUAGGAAAGAUUUUGAGUGUGUGUUGGCGAACUCGUCAGCUAACAAGGACAUAGGGGGCACGAUUUACUCAGGUUCAGGGCCCUCGAUGAGGUAAUACCGCUACGUUCUGCUUGUCCGAUCUGUAUUGCUGAGUCGAUUACAAUGGGGUGUCGCAGAGUCUAGAUGCACAGAGUUGAUGAGUGCUUCUAGGCGACUUCUCUCUAAGUUGGGGUCUUCUCUUGGCUCCCCCUCCUGGUCCUUUAUAUAUGCAGGAACUUAGGUCUAAAGUAGAGUCCAAGUCGGUUACAAUGAGAAGAUGCACUCUAAUUAAUCUUCCUUGUCUUGAGUCACAAGAUUUGGCAUGUAGACUCCUGGAGUCGUAGUAGGCUUCCUUGUGGGCCCCCAGCUCGGUUGUACCGGGUAUAUUCGAGUCGAGUACGUGGUUAGUCAUAACCACGUCAGUAGCCCUCAAGUGCCCUGUUGAGUCGAAGACUUGACUAGGGAAUUUUCCCAUAAAGAAUGAACUCAUUUUGCUGUUGAGCCAGUUGCAUAAUGCUGCAGACUUGGAGUUUAGUCGAUUUGUACUUUGAAUGAGAAGUAUUUCGACUCAAAGAAUGUCUGAGUUGAUGCUUCAGUGUUUGACUGUUAAGUAACAGUUUCACAAUAUGAUUUUGAUAGCGGAUCAAUGCGAUGAGUAGGGAUCAUAGGCUAUAUGCUUAAUGUGCCCAGAUACUCGAGAAGUCGAGUCCAGUUAAUCGCUCUAGGGCGAAUACAACUCUAGCUUUCAUCAGCAUUCGAGUCCCCGGGCUCGAACCUGGCAACUAGCGAAUUUCGACUUAGCCUGCUGGGUCUUAUAGAGUCGAGUUCCAGUUUUUAAGUACUUGACUUGUUCGUCAAGAUUAUAUGUGCUGGAAACACGCAGCUGGUACGUUUCCAGGCCCUAUAGGAAGCCUAUGGGUCUAAUUUCAUGUAAUGAACAUGGUUGUAGGGAGCGACCCUUAAGUGAGAAUUACUACUGGAGGGAUGCAGUCGAUGCAUAUCCAGGCCUAAUUUUUAGGACUUACCUUCAUACAAUGAGUAUGGAUUUGACUGGAAUAACGUAGCUGGUACGAUUUCAGGCCCGAUAGAGAACUUUUGGGUCUUAUCUUCAUGCAAUGAGCAUGGGUUUGCUGAAAUACGCAGCUGGUACGAUUUCAGGCUCGAUGGAAUGAUCCAUGAGGCUUAUCUUCAUGCAAUGAGCAUGGGUUUACUAGAGCGGCGCAGCUGGUGCGGCUCCAGGCUCUUUGGACAAAAUCCAAGAGGCUUACUGUUAUGUGAAUGAGUAUAAACAGGUGAGGUGAUGCAGCUGGUGCGACUCAAUUGAGUCGACUAUAUGAAAUCGACUGUUUUGUGACAGGGUCAUUACCCUGUUUUUACUGUUGUAAGUAAAGAAUAAACAAUAGAUGACCGUAUGAAGUCUUUAGCUAGUAUAAAGCAACAGCUGGUUAGUUCGCGACUCGAAUGUGAGUCUUAGUAUUCACAUUUAAGAUAAACUCCGUCAUCCUGUAUGAAAGAUAGUUUUGAGUCAUGAUAUUCGAAUCAGACUUCGUCAUUGAUGACGUACCUGUUGGAGGUGAAGAGCCGUUUGGUCAGUCGAUGUGACUGGAUGUAUAGCCUAGCCUGACAGCUAGGUACACUGUAGGCGUGCGUCAAUGGAGAAACAAUCAUACUUCACGCAGUAAACAAGACACAAUGAUGAUCUGAUUGGUUCUUGUGCCCACGAAGUAAGCAGUUAUUUCAUCCUCGCCGUUCCGUAUUCUAGUUGAUGCGGAACACGUGGCCACGAACGAGAUCGUGCGUCCCAGAUUUUUUCCCAAGGUAAAGAUAAAAAGCGGAGGUGGGGUAAAUUAGUUUAACCCUUCUUCCUCCUCGCACCCAGAGCUCAGGCGCCCAAGAUUUUAGCUCCCAUAGCCAAAACCUUUCGUGUUCCUUGACAAGAAAAUGUCCUUCGACCCAGUGAAAUGGGGAAGAGCAAGAAGAGCGCGGAAGCUUGGCCGCUGUCCUCCGUGGAUCGUGAAAGGGUGGCUGGCAUGCAAGAGGAAGGGUUGCUGUCCCCACGACAUGGGCACGUGCGUUUUCCCAACGAGGAGGUAAUCCCUCGCCCCAUGCAUGGAGAGCGAGUGGUGCAUUACGAUUUCAUUACCCGCGGCUUAGCAUUCCCAGUCCACCAUUUCCUUUGUAGCUUGCUUUUGGCCUAUGGGCUCCAACUUCAUAGUCUUUCUCCAAACUCCUAUCUCCACAUCGCGUGCUUUGUUACGCUGUGUGAAUGCUUUCUUGGUAUAAACCCACACCUAGGUCUUUGGAAGAGAAUGUUCACAAUCCAGCGUCAGGGCAAGGAUGCGAUUGGAUGUGUAGACAUCAAAACUCAAGCAGAUGCCAAAUUCUUCAACCUCCGAGCGAGGGAAUCACUUUCUCGAUGGAAAUCGAGGUGGUUUUAUGUCAUGGAUGUGCCGGCUGAAGGGCGUGGCUUCAGUCUCCCUGAAUUCUCCGCGACAGCUUCGGUGAAGAAGACGACAGCCUGGAGUCAUAAGUUGGGAGGAACAGAGGGCGAAGAGGCCGAGACUCUGAUGGCCCAAGUCUUGUCUCUUAUGGAGACUCCUCAGCUGAAGGUGACUGGAAUUCACCUCAUUGUUGCUUUUAUUCGGAGAAGAAUCCAACCUUUGCAAGCUCGCACUCAUUCCAUGUGGGCAUAUAAAGGGGUUCGUGACCCGACCCGGAUUAGUACUGUGGAAUUUCAUUCGACUGAAGUGUGUUGACGAGUUCGGCGGCUCACUGACUUGGGUGAGUCAGAGCCAUGCGAGAUUGACCCUCCAGUGGCUCCCUAUGGACCCGACAGGCCCCGGGAAAAGGUGAUCAUCGAAGCUUCUGACAAAACCUUGCCGUCUUGACAUGAAUUGUUUCUGACUGUACUUUUGAUUCCGGGGACCCGAUAAUGAGCCGAGCAACGUUUCUCCACCGGCAAAGAAGCGUGGCAGAGAAGAUGACAACCCGCCGAUACAGACUGACCAAUAGGCUCGAGGGACCCGAAUGUUGAACCGUCGGUGUCUAUACCUGCGUUCAAGAUAACCAAGUCCGAUGGACCCGUUGCGGCUCAUCGUUUUGGCCUUCUUGCUCGAUUCGACCGUGUCAGGUGAGCAUUUUGGCGAUCUUACUUCAGCAUUCUAGAGAUUUUAUUAAACCUCUAAAAAAUUCUUGCUCAGCCAUACUGGUGGCUCAGUCGAGGGCAAAAAGGCUCCCGAGACUCAAUCGACUGGUCAGGACUCGAAAGGGUCGGACCAGCCGACUAAGAAAAAGGCAGCUCAUGCCGAAGGAGCCUCAGCGGUUCCUUCCGAAACGAGUAGAAGGAGUCGACCAGAUGAGUCGACCAUUCCUCAAGCGACGACUCCUGCACCGAGUCAGCAUGUGAGCAAAUUUGUCUUUUGUUGUUGUUUUUGCCUCCCGGUGGGAGUGAUGCUCAAGAAAUAACUUGAGACUACGUUUUGUUUUUAGCCGAUCAUCCGCUCCAUGACAACUCUUAUUGAAGAGUUUGAGGAGACGAAGGUAGAGCUGGAUCAGUGUCGUCAAGAGCUGAAGGAAGCAGCUAUCAAAAAGAGCCGCCUCCAGCAACGUAUAGACUCCUGUCUUUCCGCGGAGAAAGAGAGGGAAAAGAUUUGGAUCGAGUGACUCGAAAGUGCUACUCGAUCUGUUGCUGGUGAGCGUUUGAGUCUGUCACCCAGGGUGCUUUGCCUUCUAGUGUAAAGUUUGACGGUUGCUCUAUCCUUUUGCAGGAGUCCUUGAUGCCUCUGCUGAGGUUCAAUUUAAUAAGAAAAGCCAGAGCUUCAAUGAGGCUCUAGAAAAUGUCGAAGUUAUCAACGCCGAAGCCAAGGGCAAAGCUCCGGCUGGUGACAAAGACUCUGACCACCGUAAUCAGGAAAAUGUUUCCUGCUGGGUCAGUGCCGGAGUCGCUGAAUGGGCUCAUCGACUUCUUUACUGCGAUCCAAGACCCGGUAGAGGAGUACUGCCAGCAUCAGUCGACGACCGACGCUGAAUUAUUCUUCACGCUUUCUCUUGCGCAUGGCAUCGAGGAUGUCUCAGGGUGGCCCAAUCUUUCGAUGAGAUUGAUAACUCUGAUUUGGGUAGGAGGUGACGUUGACGAUCCGACUACGACCUAGAAGGCAGCGCCUUAGCAAUUGAUACAUCAACUCUAGAGGGUUAUUGAUCACGCGGGGGCACGAUCAACCUGACCACGAAGGUCUUUGUUCCUGCAAGCAAUCGAAGAACAAGCAAGAACAAGAUAAAUAGCGGAUGCAAUCUAAAAUUGCAAAUAUACUAUAUCAAACCAAUGUCUCAACGAGACGAUAAGUUGGGGUUCUAAAAGCGGUAAAGCAGGUGGUCUAACCGACACACGCGAUUACACGAAGUAGUAGUGAUGGCUAACUUUUAAUUAAACAAAACCCA